rnacentral:lncRNA from 1 species
GAUCGCCUGUGCAUGUGCUAGCUCCUAGGCAACAACAACAAUAAUAUAUAUACCGCCACCUUAUAAUUAACUCUCCACGCAUCAGAGAAGCUUCACACAUGCACCAAACUUGUGCAUCCAUGGAUAUCCAAGAAGAAGAUGUAGUUAGUGCAAGCGUUCCGGUUAUUUCGUUUUCCUUUUACUCCUCUUCAUUCCUUCUACCUUCACCAAGAACUGAUUGUUGACUGACAGCACCUACAAGAGUUUAUGUAAAUUUUAUUUAAAUCCGAUAAUUAUAAUCCUAAACUUGAUCAUGUUAAAGCGACUCCAUGUGUUUCUGCAAAAUUUAGAUCUGAAUUAUUAACCCUAGUUUUAGAGACUAUCAAGAUAUAAUAGCUCUCCACAAAUAUAGGAACAAUUAUUCCACGAGCGAUCUUUUUAUUAUUCUACAAGGAAAACCUGCUUCACUGAGGCAUAUCGGGCCAAUAGACUGAAAGACGCACAACUAGUGAUUUUUUAACACAAGUAAAACCAUUGAUUUAGGCAUGUUUGUUUCUUCCCAAAAUUAUAUAAUACAGCUUAUCGAUUAUAUAAGCACUUAUUAACUUGCUUAUAGAUUAUCAUAAUCUAGAUAUCUAGAUUACAUAAUUUAUUUAAUAAUUUGUAUUGUUUACCUCACAACUUAAUUAAGCUAGAUUAUAUAAUCUAGAGGAGAAACAAACAAGACCUUAAAUUACUAGCUAUGAGCAUGUUUACAUGCACCGAGUUUUUUUAAUUUGGUUUAUAGAAACUAGGGUGUUUUUCCAAGUCUAUGUUUGGUUAUACAUGACUAAACUUUAUUCUCUCUCUUUUAGUUCCUUUUCAGGGACUACCAAAUACAGAAACUAAAUGAAGAACUAAACUAUUUUAGUCUCUAGCCCCUUGAGAGCUGACUAAAAGGGGCUAAAAGCAUAUUCUGGACAACAUUUACCCCUCAUUAAUACUUAAAUUACUUGCAGCAAGAGAUAUUUUGGUCAUUUUUCAUCUAUUUUAAUGGUCUUUAGUCCCCUUUAGUUUUUCUAGUGAAAGGAUCACGAUGUCCGAGAGGAGAGUGAACUAGGCUUUUCUAAAAUUCUUACAGAAGAUUAAACCCUAAACAAAGAGCCCAACUUCACUCAAUCUACUAGCAAGAAGUAAAAGUUAUAAAAUGAAGAACAACCCUAAGUCAUUAUGGCAAAUACUAGCAAAGUAAAUACAGAAAGUAAAAUGCUCAAAGUAAAUGCGAAAAAUAAAGUAGGGACAAGAAGACUCCUCUAAUUUUUUCUCGAGGUAUCGAAGAGUCAGCACUCUCCACUAGUCCUCAUUGGAGCACCCGCGCAAGGUUAUCAUUCCCCCUUGGUCCUCGUCGCAAGAACCAAGUGUUCACUAUGAGAUGAUCCUUUGCCUCCCCCGCACGGUGGAUCCCUCACGACCACAUACAACCAUCAAGUCGGGUCACCAACAAAUCCUCCAAGGUGAUCACCGAGCUCCAAUCGUCACCGAGUCGUCUAGGUGAUGCCGAUCACCAAGAGUAAUAAGUUAUAGACUUUCACUUGACCAAGAAAAGUCUAAUGCAUGUGGUGUGUGCUCUAGGUGGCUCUCAUGCGCACUAGUGAGGUCCUAACAUGGGGUUAUGAUUUUGCUAAUCACCUCACUAGGCUUUAUGGACUUGCAAUGCUCUAGCAAUAAAUUCUAGGUGGUUGGGAGCAACAAGACAUUCAAUAUGGCUGGUGGACGGGGUAUAAAUUCUCCACCCACCAAAAAAUAGUUGUUGCAAAAUCUCCUGAGCAUGGGCGCACCAGACAGUCCGGUGCGCCACCUGUGCACCAACGAUGCACUCCCAACGGCUAGUUUUGAUAACUAGCCGUUGCUCAGAGUCACACCGGACACAACACAGUAGUUGUCCAGUGUACACCGGACAGUCCCCUGCUAGGCUAAAAAUCAGUUGUCUCGAACUAUUCGCUCUCGGGUUUCUGUCCCUCUCAGGGUUUGCUCUCGGGCGUUCUCGGGCUCGCUGCCCAGGGAACCACCGGACAGUGCGUUGCCCCUAGGACAACAACAUUUCUUUCUUAUCUAGAGUUAUUCUAAACCGAUUUUGAUUCUAACUCAUGAGUGAAUUCUAGAAUGAUACCUAGCAUAGUUGUGAGUGUGAACAUGCACCGACAUUACACUAGUUAUCUCUUGGUCAAACUACUCAUCCACAACCCCUCUAUAUAGUAUGGGUAAAAUAAAAAUAGAAGUCCUAACUCUAUACCAAGUGUCCCACAACUCCUUUGACACUUAGGAUAUGAAUACCUUCAUCUUUUGAUCCGCCCUUUUCUGAGGGAUUGUUUUCACGGUUGUAGCACAACUUCCUACAUUGUGACCUAACUUACCAUUUGCUCUGCAAAACACAUGUUAGUCAUAAGUAAUCUUACGUUGUCAUUAAUCACUAAAACCAACUAGGGGCCUAGAUUCUUUUAAUCUCCCCCUUUUUGGUGAUUGAUGACAACCCUACAAGAGUGUGAGAGUAUUUUGUUUGAUUUCUGUCAACAUUAGAAGAUUGUUAGUGAUAUUCAACAAGUUGAAAGAGGAUAGUCAUGUAUAGAAUAUAGGAAGUAUAAGUGCAUACAUAACAUAAAAUCUUGUUUAGAUAAUGCGAGUGAAAUCCAUGAACAAGAGUUGCAUGACUGGUGAAGAAAGAAAGUGAAAACAUAUAAACACACACAAUCAUCAAAAGAUCAUGCGAGCAUAUCAUUGAGUUUGUGAGGCAUACAAAAGUCAUACAAAAACGGAGAGUCACAUCAGAGAGUACCAUGCAUAUAUUACAACAAAAGACAAUGAAUUUCUCAACUAACUCCCCCUAGCUCUCACAACUCUCUCAUCUCCCCCUUUAGCGGGAAGCACCAAAAGGGUUGCCCUAACCUAAAGACCAGAAGGAGGAGGAGGAGGGGCAAGCGCAUCAGGUCGAGGGUGAGCAGUAAGAGCAAAGACAUAAAGGGUAUUAGAGUCAGUCUCAGAUCCAGGAUCUGAUGUAGAAGUUGCAGCUGGUGAUGACUCUGACGCUGACUGUGAUGCCUGAGCUGUUGGCACUAAAGCUAGCACUAAAAUGGUCACUGCGGGGGUAGCAACCGUAGAAACUGGUGGCUGAGUCAGAGAGGUGAGAACGACGGACAAAGGUAUGAAACUGGGGUCCUGACUGAAUGCCUGGUACCACUGAAGUCUAAAGAGGUGAUGGUGGAGCUGACUGCACUGGAGGCACGGGAACACUAGUGUGAUGAAGAAUAUGAGUCAUGAACGCCCUUUGCUCCGCCCUAUCUGGCAAGAGCUACUAGUGGAGAGUGUCUUGGCGGUCCUGAAUAGUCUGAAAUAUCGAAAGCAUCCGCUCAGACAGUUGUUGCUUGAUGGCUGCCUGACGAGCCUACUCAACUACCAAGGGAGCCUGUUGUUGGGUCAAAUACUGAAGUAUAGCUGUCAGGGCUAGAUCAAUAGCUGGAGGUGCAGAGGGAGGAACGGCACUAGAACCACAGGCCUCGUGAUCGUGUGAGCGAGGUGGCACAAGAGGUGGUGGUGGUUGAAUCUCUAGAUCCUGAUCAUCUAAAUAUGAAGAGGUGUCAGCAACCAUACCCUGAUCCUCAAGCUGAUGGAUCGUCUCGUCCUCAACCUAAUGCUCGGGGGCCAAAGGAUCCAUAGGAGUAGAACUGGAGAGUGUUGCGAGCCGCCUCAUCAGCUCAUAGAGGACCUUCGCUACAGUGGUGAAAUCUGCAGGAGAGUGUCGCGAGCCGCUAGUGAAAGGUGGCCUGAAGAGCGCUGAGACAUGAGUUGUGCCAGGAGCAACUCCGCCAUGAGGGCAACAAGGAGGGUCUUAGGUACUGUAGCAGAGACGGUGAAGCCUUGUCGUCGACUCAGGGAAACCAAAGAGUUCUCUGAUCUGAGCAGUGUGAAUCGUGACAUCCUCGCGCUCGAAGCGAAACCUCAUCCACUGAUGGUCGGGGUCAAUCCAGACGGUAGCAUAGAAAACUCUAACCCACUCCUCAAUGUAGCGACCACCAAAAGUCAGCAGAGAGUACAAGCCUGAUAGAUAUGUGAUGUGGCCCUCAACCUCAGAACUGGCUACUGAACGAAAAGCUGUCAAAUCGAGAGGAGAGACAAAUUUGUUGAUAUCAACGUUGUACUAAACAUUUUUGGAACUUAAAAAGUCAUAUUUGAUAAAUCAAGCAUCUAAAUUAAAUUUUAAUUACACUACUAUGUUUAUUACAAUAUGUCGGUGACACGGAACCUAGAUACCUCAUCACCUCCAUAACCACAUAAUAUACUCCUGAAUGGCUGAAUACAACAAGCAUGCAACCCACUAUAACAUGGAGCGUCACCAAAUGUGGUAGACAAGAAAAUGACAUGAAAGAUUUGGAUGUUGCCUUCUACGAAGAUAUGAUAGAAUAUUUAUUGUACUUUUCAUGUAACUGAUUAGGAAGCAUAUCGGUAACCAAUCAGGAUCAUGUAACCCUAUUUUCAAGACUAUAUAAGCAGGUAUAUUGGUCCCAUCAUAAACACGUGACACUACUCGAGUAUACAAGCAAAAAGAUGUAGUGUAAACUGGACAUAGGGUACCAUGUAUUUGAACUAGUAUAAACUCUGUGACUUAUGUUCUACUCUUUAGAUUUCUUGUACAUGAUAUGCUAAUCCAUAUUACUAGAGUAAAUAUUUUGAUAGUUAGCACACCAGGUAUAAGCCUUUUGCGCACAAAUUAUUAUGUUUUGGAUGUGGCUUAUCAUCAACUUGACGACACUGAGAAGAUGCAGAUGGGCUACAAGUAUUCAAAGCAUUAUGUUUGCACUCGCUCUGUCUUGCCUUAUAAAUGGGGGUUUUGGUAGAAAUGAGUCAAAUCUAGGAAUGACCCCCCUAGGAGACCAUUAAGAAUUCUUGUGAAUUCAAGAGACUAAGCAUUGCAUGCUUACAUAUAAGAGGUCUAAAAACAUGGAGAUUGACAAAUCAUACAAUAAUUUGCAGAAUAUGUUGAUACUAAGAUAUUGACAUUAAGUUUUCUUUUAUCAUACUUGCAAGGAGAGUAUUUUACUUUAAAAACUCGUGAUGAACAAUUCCUAGUUUAAAGUGGUGAACAACUUAUCCAUACUACUACACUUCAUUCAUUGAUUUUCCUAUGUGAGUAACAAAAAGUCAAGUAUAUUUGCCAAACACAUUGACAUAAAGUACCAGGUUCUGAAAGAUAGAACACAAAAUUAGAUAAUUAGUUUUAUACAUUAAGUUAAUAUCGAUCCUCUAAGACUUACCAUCAAAUAUAUUAGAUGAUUAUGUUGCUUACAUGAAUCUAUGGAAAGCAUUUGAUUCUGGCUAUGAGAGACAUUAAACAACCAACUCCCAUUUUAUUUAUGUGAUAUCCUAUCAAGGUGGAUUUUCAUGCUAUAGGUAUUAUUGUUACAAUGGUGUUUUGUUGACUGUUAUAACCCAUUGUCUCCAUGUGCUAUUUCUACUAAAUAUGGACUUAUGAUGUUAGCCUUUCGAUCAAAGGGAGAAUACUAAAAAAGUGAUAUCAGACCCAUGAACGAUUAUGUGCUAACGUCCUAAUCAUGUAUGGUCGAGGCAACCUAAGGAAAAACCAUUUCCCCAUAUGUGCCAUAAUUAGGGGCACCCUAACAUUACAAGGUUGUGCCCCACAUUAUGCAAUGCCUUCAAGAGGGACGACUCCCAUUCUGAGGAGAACAAGUUAGGCAUAAUAGCCAAUACCCAUCCUCUCUUAAGAUCCAAUUACUAAGUGUGUGGAAGUGACGCAAAGGCCAUUAUUGUUUCUGCUUCCCCAUCGACUUUAUUGUAGAGAAGAAAGGCAUUUCCUCGACAACCUCUACUGAUGGCUGACUAUUGUGAUGAUUGUGGUUAGUUAUCAAUCCACUAAUGUGUUUGUGCAACUAUAUUAGAGAUCAUAUAACUUAUCUCUUUAUUUUCAUCUUGUACUCCAAUCCAUGUUCACGACAGUUUCCCUUCAACUUAAGCCCUUGCCCCAUAAACGAUGUUAAGUGGGGAAGAAUCAAUGUCAUCGGGGUCAACCAAUGAAGGUAGCCUUAUUACAAUGUGCUUGGUACUAAUAUUGAUUGUACUCAAUGGACAAUCUUAAAAUAAAAAAAAGUGAUUAUUAUUGCCUUCUCAAACAACAAGAACAAUAAUUGCAUGGUGUAUUUUCACUGAUAAGCUACAAAAGACUACAUCUCCAAUGAACUGAAUAUGACAAGGUCAUGGAUCUAGACAAUGAUGCAUCUCUCUCUCUCUCUUGAACAAAAGAAGUACAUAACAAUGACUGAAAAAAGGUCUUCAAAAGAUUAAUUAGAAUGACACUUGGACAAUAUAAAUAAAGAAUACAUUAUUCCUCUAAAGACCAGAGCUUCUCCAUGUAGAUUACUAUUUUUUAUGGCUUAGCUUGUUCAUGUAUAUUGGAGAUUUUUUUAGAAAAUUACAUAACACCAUGUCUGCUAACACAACAUGAUAUAUUUGAUUACUAACAAAAACUAGACUAAAUAUAAGAUAGGUUAUUCCCUAAGCAGGAGAGUGCUCUAAGUUGUAAGGCCUUGCCCUUCUUUCUAUAAAGACUAGAGCUUCUUCAAAUCGAACUUGAGCUCCUUACCAUCAAAGAUGUAAUUGUCAUAAAAAGGCAACUAUACGCUAUUUAAGCAAGGUGAAUAUUUGUUGUGGUGCUUUAAAAAUAUUCAGUAUAUUGUUUAAAUCAAGUGUCUUGUAGUAGAACCAAAUUUCCAAUGUAGUAUAUGCCACCUAACUAAAUCAAGAACAAAACACCAUAGGUUUCAUGUCUCUACGAUACCAGGACAAAAUAGAGAGGAUCAAUACUAGGUAUCAGUUAUUGAAAGUGUGUGUAUGUAGGAACUUUAUGUCCACUUCUCUAACACCCUGAAUUUUAGGGUAUAAAAAUUUCUUUUCUUUAUACUCAAAAUUCAGGUGAUAUUAUCUUUUUUUCUUUUCUUUUCCCUUUACUAAAAUAAUGAAUAAUUAUUUUUUUAUAUAUUGGCAUAAGCCUAGUGAAGUGAGCCAUAGAGGUGCUUUGGUUGUUGCAUCCAUGUUGUUGCAUAGUGUUUCUAAGUUCAAAAAGUGUUUGAAACAUGUUAAUGUACCUUGUAGAAGUUUCCGGUAAAUUUUCAUAUUUUUUGGAAUAUUUUUCUAUUUUCCGAGAACCAAAAUCUAUUUAUCUGAGGUACUUAAAAACAUUUUCAAAAGCUCUAAGUAUGUGUUUUAGUUCAUUGGGUACCAAAUCAUGUUUAGGAAUUUUCCUAGAAUGUUUGGAGCCUUCGGGAUAUUUUUGAGACGUUAAAUACAAUUUCAGCCUUUUCUGAAAUUAUUUUAACUUUAAAAAUUGAUUUAUUAUGAAAAAUAAAAUAUAUUAAAACCUUAGCAAUAUAUAUAUAUGCCUGGAACCCUCUCGUCGCGCCCUUUCCAAAUCUCAAAAUCAUUUUCCAUAUUCGAUACACAAUUCCUGAAAUUGUUCGCCGAAGUUCGGGACGUUCCCAACUCCGGCGAGCAAUUACUUUCAAUCAAUGCAUCGUUAGCAAAAUCCGAGACUACCGCUGCAUUCGUCUCAUCGAGGGCUUUGUCCUGAUACUUUCGAUUCAUCGAUCAGACCUCUCGUUCGCUGUCAAUCGAUGGAUUUCUCCUCGGCUCCGGCGAGGUCCUUCUUCUCCGGUAAGCAAACUCUAUUUUUUUCUUCCCGUUCUUCAUUUUCUUCACCGUGAAAUCGUAGCCCCCCUCUCUCUCCCGCGCAGCGGUGGUCGGCGGGGCCACGCCCUGGUGCCCUCCCCCCUCUCCCGCGCGGCCGAGCUCCUCCAUCCCCCUUGCCCAUGGCGGGGGUAGGAGAGGAAGAAGAAAGGACUUUUUACAAAACAGACCAUGGAAUUUUGUGUAACUGCACGCAAAAAAAUUGAUUAAUUUAAAUAUUUGAUAUCUUUUGCGUUAUAAAUCCGAUGUGUUCCGUUUAAAUCGCGUUAGAUUCGUAUUAAAGUUUUCUACAUGUUAAAAAUAUUAUUCCAUGAUGUCACAUGUUUUAAAUAAUUUGUUAAAUAUUUGUUUGGAGAAUGGCUAUUAAAUUAGCAUUCCAAUCAAAUCAAAUUUAUAGUUUUUCAACUUGUGCUUUUAUAAAUAAAUAUCAACAUUGUUAAUAUUAACUUAAAUAUUCUUUCAUUAAUAAUUGUUUAGUAUAAACGUGUCAUCUAUUUCGUAGUUCUCAAGUGUCGCGUUUGUCCGCGCGUCGUUCGCGCGUGCUGUCGUGCUAUUUCUCAGUUUCGCACAUCGCACGCUUUGUCUUGCGUCGUUAAUUCGCCUCGCUUAGAAUCGCUUUGUCUGGCUGAGAGCUGUUAUUGUAGCAAAUUAAUUAAAACUAUUUAAUAGCUCUAAAUUUACAUUCGAUAAAUGUCGAUUAAUACAAGUAUGUCAAAUUAAAUGUUCGGGUUCAUAUUUGUAUAAUGUAAACGCGAUAACUUCUCAAUCAUAGUUUAAAUCUCGGCAUUUCUUUUUCUCGUCUGACCAUUGAAGCGAGCUCUAUUUCAUGUUGCACGUUUUUAUAAUGUUUUCUGUUAUAUAGCGUACUAUUCAGUUCUGUUUUAAGAAUAUUGAAUGUAUGUUCGCACUCGCCUAGAUAACGUUCCGUCCGCGGAGUCCGAGAAAGUUGCAGAAGAAGCCCCUGAGCAGUAGCUGUUUUGUGAAGGCAAGUGUCCUCUGACCUAUUAUGGCAUAUUUACUUUAUAAUACACUUUUCGUAUACUAUGAGUAACAUAGGAAUUGACUAGCUUUCUAUUUAUCCUAUCCUUAAUUACCUUUUUAGGUUGGGCUAUUAUGAUCAACUAUAUGCUAGUGCUUUACUUUAAUCAACGAACAUGAUGAGAAUUACUUUAUGAUACGAUGAUUUUAUUCUGGAUAUAAUUAUGAACUUGUGGCACUUUAGGGGGAUCGGGUUGUUUUCCGAGUACCUUUGUCGGGGACCAUAAUUAGGGGUACCCCCAAGACUCCUAAUCUCAGCUGGUAACCCCCAUCAGCACAAAGCUGCAAAGGCCUGAUGGGCGCGAUUCAGGUCAAGGCUCCGUCCACUCAAGGGACGCGAUCUCGCCUCGCUCGAGCCCAGCCUCGGGCAAAGGCAGCCGACCCAGGAGGAUUCACGUCUCGCCCGAGGGUCCCCUCAAGCAACGGACGCACCUUCGGCUCGCCCGAGGCCCAGGCUUCGCGGAGAAGCAACCUUGGCCAGAUCGCCACGCCAACCGACCAUAUCGUAGGAGCAUUUAAUGCAAGGAUCGACUGACACCUUAUCCUGACGCGCGCUCCUUAGUCGACAGGGCCGAAGUGACCACAGUCACUUCGCCGCUCCACUGACCGACCUGACAGGAAAACAGCGCCGCCUGCCCUGCUCCGACUGCUGUGCCACUCGAUAGAGUGAGGCUGACAGCAGCUAAGUCCAGCCUCGGGCGCCAUAGGAAGCUCCGCCUCGCUCGACCCCAGAGCUCGGACUCAGCCUCGACGCCGGACGACGGACUCUGCCUCGCCCGACUCCAGGGCUCGGACUCAACCUCAACGCCGGACGACGGACCCCACCUCGCCCGACCCCAGGGCUCGGACUCAACCUCGACGCCGGACGACGGACUCCGCCUCGCCCGACCCUAGGGCUCGGACUCAACCUCGACCUCGGACGACGGUCUCCGCCUCGCCCGACCCCCGGGCCCGGACUCAGCCUCGACCUCGGAGGAGUCACCGCCUCGCCCGACCCCGGGCUUGGACCGACCACGUCACAGGGGGAGACAUCAUUACCCUACCCCUAGCCAGCUCAGGCUACAGGGAAUAAGACCGGCGUCCCAUCCGGCUCACCCCGGUAAACAAGUAAUGAUGGCACCCCGCGUGCUCCAUGACGACGGCCAGCAAGGAUCCGACAGCCCCGACAGCUGUACUUCCACGGGGCUCAAGCGCUCCUCCGACGGCCACAACAUCACAUGAACAGGGCGCCAAAACCUCUCCGACAGCCACGACGGCACGUACAUAGGGCUCUGGCUCCUCUCUGCUAGACAUGUUAGCACAUUGCUACACCCCCCGUUGUACACUUGGGCCCUCUCCUUACGCCUAUAAAAGGAAGGUCCAGGGCUCUCAUACGAGAAGGUUGGCCGCGCGGGAGAACGGGCUGGCGGACAGUCUCUCUCUCUCUCUCACUCUCCCUCGCGAACGCUUGUAACCCCCUACUGCAAGCGCACCCGACCUAGGCACAGGACAACACGAAGGCCGCGGGUUUCCCCUUUGCUAUUUUCCCCCCUUUGUGUUUCGUCUCGCACCGACCCAUCUGGGCUGAGACACGCGGCGACAAUUUACUCGUCGGUCCAGGGACCCCCCGGGGUCAAAACGCCGACAGUUGGCGCGCCAGGUAGGGGCCUGCUGCGUGUUAACGAAUAGCUUCCCGUCAAGCUCCAGAUGGGUAGUCUCCACCAACCUCUCCAACCCGGGACGAUGCUUCGUUUCGGGAGUCUCGAGUUCAUGUCCCUCGACGGCAGCUACGACAUGAUACUCCUUCCUCUAUCGUGCGACAACGAUAAUGGCGGCCGUCAGCCCGCCCGCCGACGGCGGAAUCGAUGAUGUCUUCCCCACGUGACAGAAGAGCAACAUCCGGGUCUGUCCCGUCACCUUCCCCGCCGAUGGAGGAGGAGGUGGGGCAGGCAUGGCCAAGCAGGAGGCGGCACCUCGUCGGCUGUCGAGCGAGUCGACGACGCUGGCGCCCCAAUGGGGGACACGUCGGGCGUUGACCUCGCGUCUGAGAUGAAGACGAGCAUCGUUUCCCCGCAACACGCCAACCCAAGCAGACGGACGACGCCAGCACGCUCGCGAAGGACUUGCUGGGCGUUAGCCUCGUACCUGAGAUAACGGUGCAGUCCGUUCCUGACGCGACUUCGUCACCACCCGUCGAUCAAGAGGUACCGUCCGUUUCCCAUCCCAUGCCUUUUAAAUUCAGUUGCGACCCACCAAGCGGCCCCGCUUCGGUGGACGCUUUCAUAAAGGCAUGUCCAAACCCUCUGGGGUAUCAUAUGCGGUCAACCUGGGACCGACUGACGGCCGUCUCGACCUACGGCCCCUGGGUUCCGAGGAAGAUGACGAGCCCGACUAUGGUUGGGAUUUCUCCAGGCUCGGUAACCCCAGUGCCAUGCGGGACUUCAUGACCGCAUGUGACUACUGCCUCUCCGAUUGCUCUGAUAGCAGCCACAGCCUUGGCGACGAGGACUGUGGCCCAAGUCGCGAAUGCUUCCACGUCGAUCUAGGGGGUCUCGACGAAGGCAACCAUCUUGGUAUGCCGGAGGAUGGUGAUCCCCCUAGGCCUGCGCCUCGCGUUGACAUCCUUCGGGAGCUAGCUGUGGUCCCAGUCCCUGCGGGGGGUCAGGACGCACAGCUCGAGCAAAUCCACGAGGUACAGGCCAGGCUCGACGAGGAAGCAGGACAACUUGUGCAGCUUCGGCAAAAUAUCGGGCAGGAGUGGGCAGGCCGAGCACCGGCCGGAGAAGCGCGUCAUCUGGCCCAGAACGUCCAGCACCGCAUCGCCGACGAUGCCAGGGCGAGGCUGCCCCCGGCUUCCAGUGGGGUCGCCCAGAACCUGGCUGCAGCAGCGAUACUACUCCGAGCGAUGCCGGAACCAUCCACCACCAAGGGGCGGCGUAUCCAGGGAGAGCUCAAGAAUCUCCUGGAAGAUGUCGCGGUCCGAUGGGUCGAGAGCUCUGCCUCCCGAAGGCAGGGGUACCCCCGGAGCAUCGCGCCACGACUUACCGAUUCAUGCGGGAAGCCUCGGUCCACACCGGGCGAACGCGGAACUCAGCGCCUGCGGCCCCGGGUCGUCUCGGCAACGAGCACCGCCACGACCGUCGAGCCCACCUCGACGAGAAGGUGUGCCGAGGCUACCACCCCAGGCGUGGGGGACGCUACAACAGCGGGGAGGAUCGGAGCCCCUCACCUGAACCACCCGGUCCGCAAGCUUUCAGCCGGGCCAUACGACGGGCGUCGUUCCUGACCCGGUUCCGAACCCCGACUACCAUCACCAAGUACUCGGGGGAGUCAAAGCCGGAACUGUGGCUCGCGGACUACCGACUGGCCUGCCAGCUGGGUGGAACGGACGAUGACAACCUCAUCAUCUGCAACCUUCCCCUGUUCCUCUCCGACGCCGCCCGAGCCUGGUUGGAGCAUCUGCCUCCUGCGCAGAUCUCCAACUGGGACGACCUGGUCAAAGCCUUCGCCGGCAACUUCCAAGGCAUGUACGUGCGUCCUGGGAACUCCUGGGAUCUCCGAAGCUGCCGCCAGCAGCCGGGAGAAUCCCUUCGGGACUACAUCCAGCGAUUUUCGAAGCAGCGCACCGAGCUGCCCAACAUCACCGACUCGGAUGUCAUUGGCGCUUUCCUCGCCGGCACCACUUGCCGCGACCUGAUGAGCAAGCUGGGUCGCAAGACUCCCACCAGGGCAAGCGAGCUGAUGGACAUCGCCACCAAGUUCGCCUCUGGUCAGGAGGCGGUCGAGGCCAACUUCCGGAAGGACAAGCAGCCUCAGGGGCGCCAGCCGGAAGACGUCCUCGAGGCGUCCGCUCAGCGCGGCACCAAGAAGAAGGGCAAGAAGAAGUCGCAAGUGAAACGCGACGCUGCCGACGCAGACCUUGUCGCUGCCGCCGAGCACAGGAACCCUCGGAAGCCUCCCAGAGACGCCAACCUAUUCGACAAGAUGCUCAAGGUGUCGUGUCCCUAUCAUCAGGGUCCCGUUAGGCACACCCUUGAGGAGUGCGUCAUGCUUCGGCGCUACUUCCACAAGGUCGGGCCACCGGCGGAAGGUGGCAGAGCCCCCGACAACGACAAGAAGGAGGAUCACAAGGCAUAGGAGUUCCCCGAGGUCCACGACUGCUUCAUGAUCUACGGUGGGCAAGUGGCGAACGCCUCGGCUCGGCACCGCAAGCAAGAGCGCCGGGAGGUCUGCUCGGUAAAGGUGGCGGCGCCAGUCUACCUAGACUGGUCCGACAAGCCCAUCACCUUCGACCAGGGCGACCACCCCGACCGCGUGCCGAGCUCGGGAAAGUACCCGCUUGUUGUCGAUCCCGUCAUCGGCCACAUCAGGCUUACCAAGGUCCUCAUGGACGGAGGCAACAACCUCAACAUCAUCUACGCCGAGACCCUCGGGCUCCUCCAGAUCGAUCUGUCCUCGAUCCGGGCCGGCGCGACGCCCUUUCACGGGAUCAUCCCCGGGAAAUGCGUCCAACCCCUUGGGCAACUCGAUCUGCCCAUCUGCUUCGGGACUCCCUCCAACUUCCGAAAGGAAACCCUCAUGUUCAAGGUGGUCGGGUUCCGAGGAACCUACCACGCGGUACUGGGGAGACCAUGCUACGCCAAGUUCAUGGUCGUCCCCAACUACACCUACCUCAAGCUCAAGAUGUCGGGGCCCAACGGGGUCAUCACCGUCGGCUCCACGUAUCGACACGCGUACGAAUGCGACGUGGAGUGCGUGGAGUACGCCGAGGCCCUCGCCGAAUCCGAGGCCCUCAUCGCCGACCUGGAGAGCCUCUCCAAGGAGGCGCCAGAUGCGAAGCGCCACGCCGGCAACUUUGAGCCAGCUGAGACGGUUAAGUCCGUCCCUCUCGACCCCAGCAACGACGCCUCCAAGCAGAUCCGGAUCGGCUCUGAGCUCGACCCCAAAUAGGAAGCAGUGCUCGUCGACUUUCUCCGCGCGAACGCCGAGGUUUAUGCGUGGAGUCCCUCGUACAUGCCUGGCAUACCGAGAGAUGUCGCCGAGCACUCGCUGGACAUCCGAGCUGGAGCCCGACCCAUGAAGCAGCCUCUGCGCCGAUUCGACGAAGAAAAGCGCAGAGCCAUAGGCGAGGAGAUCCACAAGCUGAUGGCUGUAGGGUUCAUCAAAGAGGUAUUCCAUCCUGAAUGGCUUGCCAACCCCGUGCUUGUGAGAAAGAAAGGGGGGAAAUGGCGGAUGUGUGUAGACUACACUGGUCUAAACAAAGCAUGUCCGAAAGUUCCCUACCCUCUGCCUCGCAUCGAUCAAAUCGUGGAUUCCACUGCUGGGUGCGAAACCCUGUCUUUCCUCGAUGCCUACUCAGGGUUUCACCAAAUCAGGAUGAAAGAGUCUGACCAGCUCGCGACUUCUUUCAUCACACCAUUUGGCAUGUACUGCUACGUUACUAUGCCAUUCGGUUUGAGGAAUGUGGGUGCGACAUACCAAAGGUGCAUGAACCACGUGUUCGGAGAACAUAUUGGCCGAACGGUCGAGGCUUACGUCGAUGACAUCGUAGUCAAGACGAGGAAGGCCUCCGACCUCCUCUCUGACCUUGAAACGACAUUCAAGUGUCUCAAGGCGAAAGGUGUAAAACUCAAUCCCGAGAAGUGUGUCUUCAGAGUCCCCCGAGGCAUGCUCCUGGGGUUCGUCGCCUCCGAGCGGGGCAUCGAGGCCAACCCGGAGAAAAUCGCGGCCAUCACCAACAUGGGGCCCAUCAAGGACUUGAAAGGAGUACAGAGGGUCAUGGGAUGCCUUGCGGCCCUGAGCCGUUUCAUCUCGCGCCUCGGCGAAAGAGGCCUACCUCUGUACCGCCUCUUAAGGAAGACCGAGCGCUUCACUUGGACCCCCGAGGUCGAGGAAGCCCUCGGGAACCUAAAGGCGCUCCUUACAAGCGCGCCCAUCUUGGUGCCCCCCGCUGCUGGAGAAGCCCUCUUGAUCUACGUCGCCGCUACCACUCAGGUGGUCAGUGCCGUGAUCGUGGUCGAGAGACGAGAAGAGGAGCAUGCAUUGCCCGUCCAGAGGCCGGUCUACUUCAUCGGUGAAGUACUGUCCGAGACCAAGAUCCGCUACCCACAAAUCCAGAAGCUACUGUACGCGGUAAUUCUGACGCGGCGAAAGUUGCGACACUACUUCGAGUCUCACCCGGUGACUGUGGUGUCAUCCUUCCCCCUGGGAGAGAUCAUCCAGUGCCGAGAGGCCUCGUGUAGGAUUGCAAAAUGGGCGGUGGAGAUCAUGGGCGAGACAAUCUCAUUCGCCCCUCGGAAGGCCAUCAAGUCCCAAGUCUUGGCGGACUUCGUGGCUGAAUGGGUCGACGCCCAACUUCCAGCAGCUCCGAUCCAACCGGAACUCUGGACCAUGUUUUUCGAUGGGUCGCUGAUGAAAACAGGAGCGGGCGCGGGCCUGCUCUUCAUCUCGCCCCUCGGGAAGCACCUCCGCUACGUGUUGCACCUCCAUUUCCCGACGUCCAACAACGUGGCCGAGUACGAGGCUCUGGUUAACGGGUUGCGUAUCGCCAUCGAGCUAGGGGUCCGACGCCUCGAUGCUCGUGGCGACUCGCAGCUUGUCAUCGACCAAGUCAUGAAGAACUCCCAUUGUCGCGACCCGAAGAUGGAAGCCUACUGCGAUGAGGUUCGGCGCCUGGAGGACAAGUUCUUCGGGCUCGAACUCAACCACAUUGCCCGACGAUACAACGAGACUGCGGACGAGCUGGCUAAGAUAGCCUCGGGGCGAACAACGGUUCCCCGUUCCCCCGGACGUCUUCUCCCGAGACCUACAUCAACCCUCAGUCAAGACCGACGACACGCCCGAGCCCGAGAAGGUCUCGGCCCUGCCCGAGGCGCCCUCGGCUCAGCCCGAGGCACCCUCGACCCCCGAGGGUGAGGCACUGCGCGUCGAGGAAGAGCGGAAUGGGGUCACGCCUAAUCAAAACUGGCAGACCCCGUACCUGCAAUAUCUCCACCAAGGAGAGCUACCCCUCGACGGAGCCGAAGCUCGGCGACUGGCGCGACGCGCCAAGUCGUUCGUCUUGCUGGGUGACGGGAAGGAGCUCUACCACCGUAGCCCCUCAGGCAUCCUCCAGCGAUGCAUAUCCAUCGCCGAAGGUCAGGAACUAUUACAAGAAAUACACUCGGGGGCUUGCGGUCAUCACGCAGCGCCUCGAGCCCUCGUUGGAAACGCCUUCCGACAGGGUUUCUACUAGCCAACCGCGGUGGCCGACGCCACAAGGAUUGUACGCACCUGCCAAGGGUGUCAAUUCUACGCAAAGCAGACCCACCUGUCCGCUCAGGCUCUACAAACAAUACCCAUCACCUGGUCGUUCGUUGUGUGGGGUCUGGACCUCGUCGGUCCCUUGCAGAAGGCACCCGAGGGCUACACGCACCUGCUGGUCGCUGUCGACAAAUUCUCCAAGUGGAUCGAGGUCCGACCCCUAAACAGCAUCAGGUCCAAACAGGCGGUGGCGUUCUUCACCAACAUCAUCCAUCGCUUCGGGGUCCCAAACUCCAUCAUCACCGACAACGGCACCCAGUUCACCGGCAGAAAGUUCCUGGACUUCUGUGAGGAUCACCACAUCCGGGUGGACUGGGCCGCCGUAGCUCACCCCAUGACGAAUGGGCAAGUAGAGCGUGCCAACGGCAUGAUUCUGCAAGGACUCAAGCCAUGGAUCUACAACGACCUCAACAAAUUCGGCAGGCGAUGGAUGAAAGAACUCCCCUCGAUGGUCUAGAGUCUGAGAACGACGCCAAGCCGAGCCACGGGCUUCACGCUGUUUUUUCUAGUCUAUGGGGCCGAAGCUAUCCUGCCCACGGACUUGGAAUACGGAUCCCCGAGGACGAGGGCGUACGACGACUGAAGCAACCGGACCAACCGAGAAGACUCACUGGACCAGCUGGAAGAGGCUCGAGACAUGGCCUUACUACACUCGGCGCGGUAUCAGCAGUCCCUGUGACGCUACCACGCCCUAGGGGUUCGGUCCCGAGACCUCCAGGUGGGCGACUUGGUGCUUCGGCUACGACAAGACGCCCGAGGGCGCCACAAGCUCACGCCUCCCUAGGAAGGGCCAUUCAUCAUCGCCAAGAUUUUGAAGCCCGGAACAUACAAGCUGGCCAACAGUCAAGGCGAGGUCUACAACAACGCUUGGAACAUCCGACAGCUACGUCGCUUCUACCCUUAAGAUGUUUUCAAGUCGUUCAUAUACCUCGUCUACAUACGCCAACAAAGUCUAACCAUCAAGGAAGGGUCAGCCUUGCCUCGGCAAAGCCCGACCCUCCCUCGGGGGCUAGAAGGGGGGCACCCCCUCUGCUUCAAAAUUUUCCUCGGAAAAAGUCUUUCUGCCAGAACAUCUUUCAUGCUUUUCGACUACUUCGAAAGUGGGAUCCUAAAAACGACGGAGUACACGUAAGCAGGCAAGGCCAACCGAGACGAGGGACUCCUACGCCUCCGGGAUACGGAUACCUCACUCAUCACCUUCUGCGAUAAGUAACUCACGCUCGGAUAAGCGAUUCCGCUGACCGAACAAGUCUUAAUGCUCGAAAACUUUUCUGUCGAAACGAUUUUUCGUGCCUUCUUGACUAUAUCGAUAACAGAAUCCAACGGACGAGUAAGAGUACACGUAAGCAGCAAGGCUGACCGAGCCGAGGGACUCCUACGCCUCCGAGAUACGGAUACCUCACUCAUCACCUUCCGUGAAAAGUAACUCUUGCUCGGAUAAGCAAUUCUGUUACCGAUAAAUAAGUCAUGAUACUCGAAACAAGGGGAAAAGAAACGCAGCUUUACAACACGACGAUGGUAUGUUUGGGCCUCGGCGGCCGCCAAAAAACAUACGCACACUACAGAUAAACUGAUUCCUGCAGGAUCAGACAUCAGUGGGGGAGCAGCAGCACCCUCGGCAUCGACUCCACCUUCGGCGGAGUCCGACCCAGCCUCGGACGGCGACAUGGUCGAAGGGUCUCCACCCCAAAGGAAGCUGUCAACACCACGCCUGGGCCAUCGUCGCAGGGGUCUCCUCUAGGAACUCGGCCCGAGCAGACGGCUCGACCGGCCACUCCGUAGCCUCAGCCAGCUGUCCCCCGAGGACAUCAGCCCGGCUCGUGGCCUCGGCAACCCGACUCCGGCGUCGGUCCCGCCAGUGGACGGCCCGGCCAGGCUCUGGCCGACGAAGCUUCUUUUCGAGCCAACUCUGCCUCUGUCCGUGCUGACACCGCUGCCUCCGGCUUCGGCUCAUCACAGAGCGGCUGAGGGUUUCUUUAACUAAGCAAGAGAAGCCUCGGACGGCAAGGCCGACCGAGCUGAGGGACUCCUACGCCUCCGGGAUACGGAUACCUCACACGUCACCUUCCGCACGAGGCAACUCACACUUGGUUAAGCGGUUCAGCUAGCCGACAGGCGAGUCCUAGUGCUCGAAAUGAGGAAGAAACACGGCUUUACGCCAAAAUACAUAAAUGUUCCGGCCCCGACAGCCACGAUGAACAGACACCGGCACUCAAGGUGCCAUUACGAACAGAACUCUGGUUCCACUCCCGCAGGUACGAACAACCCCCCACAUUGGAGGGCCUGCGGGGCGACGAAAGCCCAGGUGGCUCGCCGCCGCCCGCUCCGGCAGCAGCGACGACGACCUCCGCUCCGGACGGCCAAACAGCAGCAGCGAUGACCUCAGGGCAGACGCUGCUGCGAUAAGGUCCUCGCCCUCAUCCCCACUCGAGGGGCGAGGACAAGCUAUCAAAGCCAAAGAGCCAGAGGCCCGGAGCGUGGAUGGUGGCGGCGAUCUCGUCGGCGACGAGGACUUCUUCAGCCGCCACCACCUCGGCACCAACGACGGCAGCCGUCUGCCCACCGGCAGAUCCCCACCCGGGUCCUCCCAGACGGGCGAACACCGACCUCCACGCAGGGGCGUCGUACCGGAGCAAAGGCAGGAUAGCCCAAGAACACGAACGCCGCCCUAGCAGCGCGCGACAUCUUGGGCGGUCCCCCGGUGCGCGCGGCGCGACAGCCGCCCGCACGUCGGGCAGAUAGCCGUGAUCCGCCCAACGAUGGAAGGUGGCACCGGAAGCUGCGCCAGAGCUAGCUGAGCCAGCGAACCGGGCACGCGGGAGCUGACGACGCUUGCGGCCAUUCGGCCCCACGUUGUCGAAGUCCGCCCCUUCCGCUAAGCCGGUGAGCACCCUCUCCCCUGAGUGGUGAGGGAGAAGGUGACCCACGAACCCGCGAGGGAGGUAGAGCUCCGGCUCAGCCCGGCCUCCACCCUAGCCAGGAUGAUGAAGAUCCUUGAAGCUGAGGGCGGGGCAGAGGUCGCAGCCCGGCUCGCUUCUCUCCACCGUCAAACUGGUGGUCACCGUCUUGGGUGACCACUGGCGAGGGGAUGCAGCCGGGCUGCCUGAUGAAAAUCCUUGAAGCCGAGCGAUGGCUGAAAGAUACCAACUUCCGCGAAGUUGCGUUCCUCCAACGACGACAAAACGAAAGCAACGCGGGCGCUCCCCAUCCGGGGGCUCGGAAGGUGGAAGGGCGCGAUGCAUGGGGAGAGUGUGAAGACAUGGUUGCCAUCCAAGGGGGUCGCCCUCCUUUUAAAGGCAACUCUCCCCACUUGCGUCCUCAGCCGUCACUGACGGAGUCUUCACCAACAAGCUCCAAGGUCUUCCCCCUACGACACGGGAGCUGGGUCCCACGCGUCAUGCAAGCUGGCCCUGGGCAGAAGAAGCCAAACCGCCGCGCGCAGAGCACGUAACUGCCCAGCAGUUACAAGCGCUCCUCCACUUUCGCCCAGACCGGCGGGUGAAAGGGCGGACCGCCAUGCAGGCGGCAUGCAACCGCACCAAGGGGGCGCACCCUUUCGACUCUGAUGCGUCCAGCAUGGGGGCCUAGGCCCACGCGUCAUGUAACCGGUGCGCCGGUUACUACGUGUGGGAAACUGCACCGCCACUUGCGCCAGUACCGCGCCUUCUCGACUGCAGAACCGGUGUCACGACUCGAGGCAACCCUGCGCAUGGCCCAACAGUGCCAACCGAGCACAUCGGUCACGGGUCAGUCAGCCGCGGGAGAAGGCGCGACGGUCGAUAUGGCCAAAAGUGGGCCGGUAGUAAUGGCGGUGGCAGGCGGGCGGAAGCAGCGGUCAAGUCGUCUGCAGGCUCACGUCCCCUCCUGGGACAGCGAGAGAGCCCUCUCCCACGGCGUGAAGACGACGCGCCCGUGUUCCAUUCCUCGAACGGCUCGCACACGCACAACGGCUGCCCCGUGAACCACUCGUCCCGUCGCAUUAACUCUGCGGCAGGACAUGCGGCACCUUUGGCAGGCGAAGCAGGCGACGCUUCACCUUCGCCUUAAUGACCGCGUCAAAAAAGGUGCGCCAUGUCGUUCGAUUUCGUAUCCUUUUCCUCUUCCUCUUUCUCUCUCUUACUAUAGGGAUCGGGAAAGGGGGAUACUCCGAAAGGGAUCCUUCUCCGCGAAGGAAGUGGGCCCCAAGCCCUCCUACUGAUCAGAGGUUCGAAGGCUGGCCCCUCAGAAGGGUUCGACAGCCGCCUCAGAGCACUCGGGCCACGAGCCCUCCUACUGAUCAGAGGUUCGAAGGCUGGCCCCUCGGAAGGGUUCGACAGCCGCCUCAGAGCACUCAGGCUCCGCGCCCACUACUGGUCAGAGGUUCGAAGGCUAGCCCCUCGAAGGGGUUCGACAGCCGCCUCAGACCACUCGGGCUCCGCGCCCACUACUGAUCAGGGGUUCGUAGGCUGGCCCCCGAAGGGUUCGACAGCCGCCUCAGAGCAUGCAGAGCGAGGGAUGACUCUGGGUACGUCCGAUACAUGGCCGAGGCUCGAGCUACGCUCCUGAGGUACCCUAGGACAUUUCCGAGACCAGCAGGAGCGAUUCUGUAAUGGAAUCCCAUCAGAGGGAGGCAUCGAGCCCUCGGACCCUAUCAAACGGGACCGGGUCUGGCAAAUCACCUGCAAGUACUUUUGGAGCGUGCCUCUGGGCCACUAGCCGACCCUUAUCGAACGGGGCACGGGCGUCCACUCGGAUCACCCGUUAGCAACUCACUGGAGACACCAUGUUCGGCGCCCUCCGAGGGCAACAUGGCGCUUUCCCCCCUCCUCCUUGCGGAAAGGCGACACAGGGGCGUAUGAAAAAAGUCGAGUCAGUCCUUGACCGUCCUCUCGCUCUGUGCGGAGGCUCGGGGGCUGCUCUCGCAAACCCGGCUCCGGCCAAACCGUUGACAGCGUCAACAUACCAGCCCGAGAACUUGGAACCUGACUAUGCACCCGGGCUACGACCAGUUCGCAUGAGGGAACAACCAGACCGGCCGAAGCAUCACAAAACGCGCUAAGACCUCGAAGGAGUCAAACCACUCCUCCGAGGCCUCGGGGGCUACACCCGGCGGGUGCGCUCGCGCGCACCCACCGGAAUGAAACGCAACCGAGAAAGGCCGGUCCCCUUGCAAAAAAGUGCGACACAAGCCUCCAAGCGAGUACUAACACUCCCUUCGAGGCUCGGGGGCUACUGUCAGGGACCAUAAUUAGGGGUACCCCCAAGACUCCUAAUCUCAGCUGGUAACCCCUAUCAGCACAAAGCUGCAAAGGCCUGAUGGGCGCGAUUCAGGUCAAGGCUCCGUCCACUCAAGGGACGCGAUCUCGCCUCGCCCGAGCCCAGGCUCGGGCAAAGGCAGCCGACCCAGGAGGAUUCACGUCUCGCCCGAGGGUCCCCUCAAGCAACGGACGCACCUUCGGCUCGCCCGAGGCCGAGGCUUCGCGGAGAAGCAACCUUGGCCAGAUCGCCACGCCAACCGACCGUAUCGCAGGAGCAUUUAAUGCAAGGAUCGACUGACACCUUAUCCUGACGCGCGCUCCUCAGUCGACAGGGCCGAAGUGACCACAGUCACUUCGCCGCUCCACUGACCGACCUGACAGGAAAACAGCGCCGCCUGCCCUGCUCCGACUGCUGUGCCACUCGACAGAGUGAGGCUGACAGCAGCUAAGUCCAGCCUCGGGCGCCAUAGGAAGCUCCGCCUCGCCCGACCCCAGAGCUCGGACUCAGCCUCGACGCCGGACGACGGACUCCGCCUCGCCCAACUCCAGGGCUCGGACUCAACCUCGACGCCGGACGACGGACUCCGCCUCGCCCGACCCCAGGGCUCGGACUCAACCUCGACGCCGGACAACGGACUCCACCUCGCCCGACCCUAGGGCUCGGACUCAACCUCGACGCCGGACGACGGACUCCGCCUCGCCCGACCCCAGGGCUCAGACUCAACCUCGACCUCAGACGACGGUCUCCGUCUCGCCCGACCCCCGGACCCGGACUCAGCCUCGACCUCGGAGGAGUCACCGCCUCGCCAACCCCGGGCUCAGACCGACCACGUCACAGGGGGGAGCCAUCAUUACCCUACCCCUAGCCAGCUCAGGCUACGGGGAACAAGACCGGCGUCCCAUCCGGCUCGCCCCGGUAAACAAGUAAUGAUGGCACCCCACGUGCUCCAUGACGAUAGCGGCUCUCAGCCCCUUACGAAAGCAAGGAGACGUCAGCAAGGAUCCGACAACCCCGACAGUUGUACUUCCACGGGGCUCAAGUGCUCCUCCGAUGGCCACGACAUCACAUGAACAGGGCGCCAAAACCUCUCCGACAGCCACGACGGCACGUACAUAGGGCUCUGGCUCCUCUCUGCUAGAUACGUUAGCACAUUGCUACACCCCCUGUUGUACACCUGGGCCCUCUCCUUACGCCUAUAAAAGGAAGGUCUAGGGCUCUCAUACGAGAAGGUUGGCCGCGCGGGAGAACGGGCUGGCGGACAGUCUCUCUCUCUCACUCUCCCUCGCGAACGCUUGUAACCCCCUACUGCAAGCGCACCUGACCUGGGCGCAGGACAACACGAAGGCCGCGGGUUUCCCCUUUGCUGUUUUCCCCCGUUUGUGUUCCGUCUCGCGCCGACCCAUCUGGGCUGGGACACACGGCGACAAUUUACUCGUCGGUCCAGGGACCGCCCGGGGUCGAAGCACCGACAACCUCUACGAAAGGAACUGUUUGUUGAGAGACCACCUAUAAAAACAUUACAACCAUAAGGGUGUAUGGGACGCACUUAGCUGAUUAAUUGGAGGAAUCUAGGGGUGUAGUUUGCUUCAUCGUUGUGCCGUCAAUGGAGGCUGGGGCAUAGUGCUUGCUCUGCUAAGGGCGGGUGCUGAGGUUUAUUCGAUUUGGUUUGUUAGUCACCCCCUUAGGGAGGAGUAUUGUCUUUGUACGACUGGCGAAACCUAAUGAACGGCUACACACCAGGAGAAUCUUUGUAAAGUCUAUGUAGUGAAACCUUGUCGGCUCACCUUAGAAGUGUUUGAGGGUUUGAUCGACCCGAGGCAAAAAAAGUGAUCACGACUAAUAACAAUGUAAAUUUUGUUUUUGAUGGAUAUUAUCUAGUUUCUAUAUGUCCCCUUUUAGACCUCAUGGUAUAAUACAUAUUGCAAGUUCUUUUCUUCCAUAAACUAAGAUCAAGUUAUUAGUUGUUUUUUAUAUGUAUUUUUUUGGUGGAAUAUCAUUGCAAUAGGCAUUUAUACCUUCUUAUUGCAUUUAUGUCUUUUUAUUUUUUUAUAUAUCAUUGCAAAUGAAUUUCUACAUUUAACAAUGUCUUAUUUGCUAAUUUAUUGAUAUACAAUGCUUGGUAUGCUUGGAUCAUCAAUGAGGUAAUUUUUUGACAAUUUAUGGUUGAGUACAAACUUCAUUGGUCAAUUUGGUACUUAUUAUAUAUUCAUAUGUUGCUUUCCCUUUCUUGAUUAAAAUCACAUUAUCAUCCAAGGUAAUGAUCCAUUUGGAGUUUAUAUGAUAGUUUUUGUGCAACCAGAUUGUUAUAGUGCUUGAUAUAUUUGUAUCAUCGAUGAGGUAAUUUUUUUGACAAUUCAUGUAAGAGCACAAACUUCUUAUUAGUUUUGUACUUAUCAUAUGUUACUUUUCCUUACUCGAGUUAAAUCACAUUACCAUUCAAGAUUUGGUUGGAGCUUGUAUGAGAAUUUUUGCACGACUUAACUAUUUUUUUCUUUAUACUAUAUGUAGGUUCUUUUCUUGAGUGUUGCUUUAUGUUUUUUAGUUUAUUGGUUUUGGGGUUCUAAAAAAUAAAACUAAUUUUAUUAUUAAUUGAAUUAAGGUUGUACAACAUUAUCAUGUAUUGUUGUAUAAAUGAAUAGUUACAUUUUUAAUAUGGUAUAUAUUAAUUGAUGUGUUAAAGUUUCUUUCGUUGUGUAUGAUUUUUACAUGUGUGUCGCACCUGCAUUGUCCUCUAAUUUUUAAAAGAGGAACAUAAACUCGCAAUUAUUAUCCUGGUCCCUAAACUUCUAAAGUGCACAUCUAAGAUUUCUAAACUUGUGAAGUUGUAUUGUCCCGAUCUCUAAACUCUCAACAUGCACAUUUCGAUCCUUAUAUGGUUUUUGGAGUCAUCAAAGAUAUAAACUAUUUGGACCUAUGAUGACAUUAAAAAACAAGUUUAUGGAUCUUUAGAGCAUCUCCAACAGUUUGUUAAAAAUGAAUUCCAAAACACUGGUUUUACGGUCUCCCAAAACAUAUUAGAUAAAGAAAAAUCUCUUGUCCUCCAACCGUUCCUUAAAGACUAUUUCCUAAAUAGUUUAAACCUUGCCACAUCAUCUUAAUUAAUAGGUCCACAUAUAUUCUAUUUUUUCUUAGAGAUCGAUUCAAUCUGGAGACCGAUCUAAUAUAUUAAUCCUGACCCGCCAGUGCUAAUCCAAACGAGUCUGUCGUCGUUCUCUCUCACGUGAGGCUUGGUUCCUUCUAGAUCGAGCAAGAAGGCAUCAAUCAAUAGGAAGGCAUAAAUCCUGCAUCCGGUCUCUCACGUGAGAUGUUAGCCUCAAUUAGUAUUCAUGUGCUAAUUCAAUGUUUUUUAUAUGUACUGUAAUUAUAUUUUUCAGACGCAAUGAGUGAUUGGUCAUUGCUUUCCCGUCGGUAUUUGGACGAAUCAUCCUCUGAAGAUGACGACGAUGCAUUCAUCAUCUUUGCUGCUCAAAUCAUACAGAGUGAGUCAAUACUUCCAGCAAAGCGUGGCGGCUCUAUCCCCGGGCAUUUGUACAUUGUUGACGCCUUUUCGGAGCGCCAAAUACUCAAGAAGAACCGGCGACGGUGCUCUCUGCACAGGGGCGGACGGUCCGCGCGCGGGGCCGGACGGUCCGCGGCCUGGUGCGAGGCGCGGUGGUACUCUCUGCGCAGGGGCGGACUGUCCGCGGCCUGGGGCCGGACGGUCCGCGGCCUGGUGCGCGGCUAGGGCUUCUCUGCCUGACGGUCGGACGGUCCGCGCCCUGAGGCCGGACGGUCCGCGCGUACGCAGAGGCGGCGGAAGUCGCCGGCGGCGCCUGGAUCUCGCUCCCGGGAGGGACCCCGUCGGGGAGGAGAGAUCCUAGGUGGUGUCUAGGCUCGGGCCGGCCGACCUAGACUCCUCUAAUCGACGUAGAGCCGAAGAGAGACGAAGAAUUUGGGGAUUGAGAGGCUAAACCUAAACUAGACUAGAACUACUCCUAGGGUAAAAUGCGAAUAAAAGUUGUAUUGAUUCGAUUGUUGAUGAUUACAAAUCGGCCGUAGACCUCUCUAUUUAUAGAGGAGGGGGGCUGGACCCUUUACACAACUGAUUUCGAGCUAAUCCCGCGAUUUUAGCCAACAACCGUAGCACAAAACUCGGAACCCUAAUCUGCUCUGCGCACGCGCGGACAGUCCGGCCCACAGGCGCGGACCGUCCGGCCUCAGGGCCGGACAGUCCGCCGGCUCAUUUCUGGUUCGAACAUAUGCCCCCCUGCCUUUUGGUGGAGCUGGGCGAACCAAAAGCAACUAACUCGAUGUGAUCACAUCGGUUUUCUUAGGCAUCUUGCCACAUACUAGGAUGGUACUGUUUGAGGAACCGCCCAUUCAAAGCCUUAGGUAAAUCCUUGCCUUGUAAUGUUUGUAGUAAAUAAGCGUUACCAGACAUCACCUGUUUCACUUUAUAAGGACCCUCCCAGCUUGGCGACCAUUUCCCGAACUUUCGGUCUUUAUUCCUUAGAGGUAGAAUGGUCUUACACACCAAGUCUCCUACUUGGAAUGAUUUUGCUUUGACCUUCUUGUUGUAGGCCCUGGCUACCAUGAUCUUGUCCUUUUCUAUUGCUCCCAAAGCUAUCAUCCUCUUAUCGGUCACCUCAUCAAUAUUAUCCAUCAUUGAAUUAUAAUAAUCAGUAGCAGUUAGAUCAUUUUGUCUGGCAAACCUGACAGCAUUCAAACUUAUUUCCACAGGUAACACUGCUUCCUGCCCAUAGACAAGCUCAAAAGGAGAUACUUUAGUAGCACUAUGUUUAGAUAUUCUAUGAGCCCAUAAAGCUUCAGACAAAAUCUUAUGCCAAUGUUUAGGAUUAUCAGAUACCUUCUUCUUUAUCAAAUUAAUCAACGUCCUAUUACUAGACUCGGCCUGUCCAUUGGCCUGAGCAUAAUAUGGAGACGAAUUAAGCAGCUUAAUUCUGUAUAAUUCAGCAAAUUCACGUACCUCCUUUGACAUAAAAGAAGUACCUUGAUCUGUAGUCAAAGUCUGGGGAAUGCCGAAUCUAUGAAUAAUAUGCUCAGUUAUGAACUCAAUUACCUCCUUGUGCGUCAUGUUCUUUAGAGCAACGGCUUCAGUCCAUUUGGUGAAAUAGUCAGUGGCAACUAACACAAACCGAUGCCCUUUUGAUGAUGAAGGAUGAAUUUCUCCAAUAAAGUCUAAUCCCCAUCCUCUGAAUGGCCAAGGCUUGAUGAUAGGAUGUAAUUCGGCUGCAGGGACCAACUGUAGGUCACCGAAUUUUUGACACACUUGGCACCCCUUGUAGUACUUGAAACAAUCAGCUAUCAUACUAGGCCAAUAAAAACCAGACCUUCGCAACAACCACUUCAUCUUUGGAGCUGAUUGAUGGGUACCACAAAUUCCUUCAUGUACUUCGGCCAUAGCUAAUAUAGCAUCAUCUGGGCCCAAGCACUUAAGCAGGACAUCAUUAACCGUUCGGCGGUAAAGUUCAUCACUCAUCAAAACAUACUUGAAAGCUGUUCGCCGAAUGUUCUUAUCUGUCCUGAUAUUGGGAUUUUGCAAAUAAUUAAGUAUAGGUGUCCUCCAAUCACUUGCAUCGGCUUCAUUGUCAGCCGAAUCGACUAAGAGAACCUUUCUGGUAACCUCGGACGGUCCGACGUCAUCACGCGGACGGUCCGCGGCCUGGGAAUUUGGCUCUGCACUGGUUAUCAGAUUUUCAGUUUUGUGAAAUUUCCCUCUCUUUAUCCGAUAACCCGAUGCAUCUUGUGCCAAGUCGCUAGCUCUAUGAUUCUCAACUCUAGAGAUACGUCGAAUACUGAAUUCGUCAAAAGAAUGGAUUAUGCUCCAACAUUUCUCAAGAUAACUAUUUAGAGUACCAUCAAGACAUUGAUAUUCUUCUAACACUUGUUGGACAACCAGCUGAGAAUCACCAAAUACCUUCACAUGUUUUACUCCCAUACCAUUUAAAAGCUCUAAACCGAAUAGGAGGGCCUCAUAUUCAGCUUGAUUAUUAGUGCAAUACGUUUUCAAUCGGCUAGAGAAGUCAAAGGAGACAUUACUUGGUGAAACAAGCACAAUGCCAAUUCCUUGCCCUUCAUUGCAAACCGAUCCAUCAAAAUAUAAAGUCCAAGGAGUAAUAGUGAGGUAUGAUAUGUCUAGUUCAUGAAUAUCAUUAACCCGAUGUUCUACAAUAAAGUCCGCUAUGACUUGGCCUUUCAUAGAUUUCAAUGGUUCAUAAGCCAAGUCAUAUUCUAUGAGUGCAUAAGCCCACUUACCAAUUCUACCACUCAUAAUUGGGUUAUGCAACAUGUACUUGAUUACAUCGGCUUGACCAGAAACAGUGCAAUGACUAGACAGUAAAUAACAUCUACAUUUGGUGCAUGCAUAAAACAAGCAUAAGCAUAACUUUUCAAUAAAAGUGUACCUUGUUUCAGCAUCCACCAACCUUCGGCUUAGGUAUGUCACCACAUGCUCCUUCCCCUCAGUUUCUUGUGUCAGAACAGCCCCAAUAACCUUGUCUUCAGUUGCAAUGUAUAAUCUGAAUGGUGCUCCUACUUGUGGUGCUUUUAACACGGGAGCCGAAGACAAUUAUUUUUUAAUGAGAUCAAAUGCUUCCUGCUGCUCUGCCCCCAAGUGAAUUCAGCAUCAUUCUUAAGCCGAAGGAUAGGGGUGAAGGCAUCAAUUUUCCCGGCUAAGUUAGAAAUAAACCUUCGUAAAUAAUUCACCUUGCCGAGAAACCUCUGCACUUCGACCUUACACGUCGGAGGCCCCACAUUCCGAAUAGACUUGAUUCGGUCAGGGUCUAUUUCUAUACCAUGUUCAUGGAUGACAAAUCCUAAAAACUUACCAGCCGACACUCCAAAAGCACAUUUACGUGGGUUCAUUUUUAAACCAUACCGACGCAUUUUAUCAAAGGCUUUGCGCAAAUCAGCUAUAUGAGAACUAAACUCAGCCGAUUUGACAACAAUAUCAUCAAUGUAGACUUCCACAGUGUUUCCUAACAACUCAUGGAAGAUCAGAUUCAUAGCCCUCUGAUAAGUAGCACUAGCAUUUUUAAGACCGAAUGUCAUGACAACCCAUUCAAAUAAACCAAUGAAGCCUGGACAUAUAAAGGCCGUUUUAGACGCAUCUUCUUCGGCCAUGAAAAUCUGAUUAUAUCCGGCAUUACCAUCAAGGAAGCUAAUAAUUCUAUUCCCUGAUGCAUUAUUGAUUAAUGUGUCGGCUAUGGGCAUGGGAUAUUCAUCUUUAGGAGUUGCUUUAUUUAAAUUACGAAAAUCAAUGCAUACUCUAAGCUUACCUGACUCCUUCUUCUCCACCGGCACAAUAUUGGAGACUCACUCUGCGUAUCUGCAAUGUCUAAUAAAAUUAGCUUCUAGCAGCCGGUGGAUUUCGUCCUUGAUUCGUGGGAGAAGAUCUGGACGAAAUGUUCUAGCUUUCUGCUUGAAAGGUCUGAAACUAGGCUUAAUAGGCAGCCGAUGUUCGACAAUUUCUCGGCUUAGUCCAGGCAUUUCAGUGUAAUUCCAAGCAAAACAAUCUGAAUAUUCCUUCAAUAGACCGAUCAUCUCAUUUCUAGAAUCGGUCUCCAGGGUCUUGUUUACAAAAGUCGGCCUUGGAGUUUUACCAUCUCCUAUGUCAAUCUCCUCCAAAGGAUCGGCCGAUGUAAACCCCUGUCCUAGUUUAUCAAGAUCUCUGAAUUCCUCUAUCAUGGCCCCCACAGAGGAAUCAGAUGAUCUUUGUGUGAUGGCGGACUUUCCGGUCUUGGGGACCGGAUCAUCCGUAAUACUGUCUUUUCGCUGUGGUAGAUGUUCGGUCUUAAAGUCCGAACUCUUUUGUGAAAGACCAGACCAUCCGGCCUUGGCGGCCGAACUGUCCGUGACCAAAGACUCAUGAACUUUGUGUGUAUUCAUCACUUAACUUUAUUAGGAUUUAGCCGAUUCUCCAUCGGCUCUAGCAUUACAGGAAUGAAACCUUUCUUAUCUAUACUUAUGAAUUGAUAAUCAGAAAAGUCUACUCCUGUGAGACAUGUAGCAGUCUCAUAAGUCCAGAGUACAGGGGCAUCAGCCACAGCGAUGCAGGCCGAUACAUCAGCAUGUACUUGUUCUAUGUCAUCGCCUACCCAUUGUAUCAGCAUUUGAUGUAAUGUAGAAGGUAUACAUUGAUUGGCGUGAAUCCAAUCUCUGCCUAGGAUUAAACUGUAAUUUCCUUCUACAUCAGCGACGAAGAAUGCAGCAGCAAGGGUCUUAGUCCCGAUGGUUAAUUCAACGGACGUGACUCCCCUGGCUUUGAUCGAACUAUCAGUUCCAACACCGCUGAGGGUCAUGUUGGUCUUGACAAGUUCGUCAUCUUGUUUACCUAAUUUUCUGUAUAAUGAAUAAGGCAUUAGAUUUACAGCUGCCCCUCCAUCUACCAACAUCUUAGCAAUCGGUAUCCCAUCAAUGUGGCCGCGCACGAAGAGCGGCUUUAAAUGAUUUACCGAUUCUUUUGGUUUAGUAAAGGCGGCUUCUUUAGGACCAAAAUCAAACUGGGCAACAACAGGUUCAUCGUCGCCGAUAAUAGUACAAUCGGCAGAAAAUGUAAUAAUAUUUACAUCCAUACCUGGGUGUUCUGGAGAAGCCUCGUAGUCGACCAGGUCUUCUCCCAGCAGGUCGUCCUCUUCCAUUGAUGUUGUCGUGUCGUUGGAGGCUUCCUGGUGAACGGCGGACGGUCCGCAUGCGGUGGCCGGACGGUCCGCGCCUGGUGCAGGUUGUCCAGAGACUUCCUGGUGAACGGCGGACGGUCCGCGCGUAGGGGACGGACGGUCCGCGCUUGGUGCAGAUUGACUUUCUAUUUCUGUGGCCGUUUGUUUUUUCUCAACGGCCUUCGGUCUCCAUUUCUUUUGCGGUGGCGGGUAUAAUGGAUGUGUGUCAUUAAAUGUCUUUUCCGCCUCCUUCUCCUGGCUCUCCUUUGCUCUUAGGCGCUGUAAUUUUCUCUUUUGGGAUCGUGUCAAUCCCGCUGGGCACCAUCGAGGCAUGGAGUAUUUUGGAUCGGCUGUUUUGAUGGUAGCCGUAUCCUUUUCGGUUGCGUUGGCCGAUUCACCGAAAAUCAUCGGCCCUUUAUUGUCUCCCUGUAUGACAACAUCUGCGGUGCCUAUUUUGAUGAUGUCCCCUUUUGUUGUUUUUUGAGUUGCUGCAGGCAUAUGCCCCCCUGCCGGAUUGGUCGGCCUUGAAGGCCGAGUAGUCCGGCAAUCUUGUUGGGUUUGUGCCUGGUGACCGGAUUGAGCAGUGCUCAAUCGGUCUUGUACUGGUGGCGUCAACCUGUUGAAAACAGAUGUUUGGGGUGCCCCCCAGGCGGGGUACUGUGGCAUGCCCCACAUUUGAUUUGGGACAUAUGGCGGAGGUAAAUAUGUGUACGGAUAUGGCAUAGGUGGAUAUGGAGGUGGAGGUGUCCAUGCAGGUAUGUUAGGUCUCACUUGUAUAGUAUGACCUUUCAUUUCUUUCGAUUGGUGGGGUGAUCCAAUCGGCCUGACCUCGCGCUGCUCAUGCAUGGGUGAGCGGGGUCGCUUUGCUGGCCGGUCACUGGGGUCGGCCUUCUUUUUAACGUAUUUAGACAGUAAUUGAUCAAAAGUUGGGUCGGCUUUAACCAACCGACCAGCUGCCUUGAAUGUAUUUGUUUUCCACGUACCUAUCUCUGGUCGUCGUGGUUUGAAAGUACGUGGCCGUCGUAAGUCCUGAGUACGGCCGGCCCGUCCGCCGGAGCUCUCUGGACCGUCCGGUGGGGUCCCGGACCGUCCGCGCCUACGUGUCGGACCGUCCGGGAUACGUAGCACGGGUUCCUGCAUCUGUCUCCCUGUCUGCGCUUGCCCCCCAGUACUGGAGGCUGUGAUGGUCACCUUUAGGGUCUCCCCUCCAUCGGGAGUCUUCUCGGCUACCACUUUUCUGCAAGAAACUUUAUGAUCCUCAUCGGCCUUUUUAGAAUUGCCGAUGAUUGCCUCUUUGCCUUUGCUUUUAUCGGCCGUGUUUGGCCGAACCAGUACUUUCUUGCCCUCAAAGUCGAUCACGUUCAUUGGAAAGGGCUCUGUAUCCACCUGCAUUUCCUGAAAUUUCAAUCGUCCUUCAUUAAUGGCCGAUUGAAUCUGUCGUCGAAAUACAUUACAAUCAUUAGUGGCAUGAGAAAAUGAGUUAUGCCACUUGCAGUACGCACGACGUUUUAGCUCGUCGGCGGAUGGAACAGUGUGAUUUAUUUUAAUAUUGCCAUUUUUGAGUAAUUCAUCAAAUAUUUUAUCACACUUACCAACAUUAAACGUAAAUUUAACCUCCUCUUGACGUUUCUUUUGAACCGGCUGCAAGGAGGAACAAGCCGAAGAUUUGGCCUGUUUUGGCCAAACCAUUUCAGCAGCAUAUACUUCGGCUGAUUCGUCAUCUGAGCUACUUUGGUCGCAUUCUACUAUAUGUACGUUGUGACGCAUUGUUUUAGCAGUUUCUUUGCUCCGGCUUUCGCAAGCCAAAGCCCUCUGGUGUAACUGUGCUAGUGUAAAAAAUUGGAUGCCUUCUAAUCUCUCUUUUAAAUAAUAUCGUAGACCAUUAAAGGCUAAUCCUACUAGCUGUUUUUCUGCUAAAUGAAUUUGAAAGCAUCGGUUUCUUGUAUCGCGGAAUCUCCGGAUGUAAUCAUUAACCGAUUCGUCUUUUGUCUGUCGCAAUGACACUAAAUCUACCAAAUCCAAUUCAUAAUCACCGGAGAAAAAAUGAUCAUGAAAUUUUUGUUCUAGAUCCCCCCAUGAUGAAAUGGAAUUAGGAGGUAAAGUGGCAUACCAUGCAAACGCGGUUCCUGUUAGCGAUAAUGAAAAUAAACGUACGCGAAAUGCCUCUGUGUCGGCCAAUUCUCCCAAUUGUGCUAAGAACUGGCCUAUAUGUUCACGUGUGUUUUUCCCUUGAUCACCCGAAAAUUUUGCGAAUUCGGGUAUCCUGGUUCCCUGUGGGUAUGGGUGGUGAUCAAAUCGGCUGUCAUAAGGUUUCCGAUAUGAUUGCCCCCCAGGGACCAUGCUUACUCCGAGCUUAUCUCGGAACGCCCCGGCUAUUUCUUCCCUUACUAUAUCAAUGGCAGCCGGUGCGAGACCACCGGCUCUCUGGUCAAACAUAGGUGGGGUUGGCUGGACAUUAGCAUGUUGUCUUUCCCCCCAUUGGUUUGAGUUACGUGGUGCAUUUUCAUUUGCCCUAUAUGGGUCAUAGGUUUGAUCGUUCCUUUCCGGCCUUCUAGGUGGGGCCGGAAAGCUUUCCUGGGCUUUGGAUCCUGAAUUAAUGGGCUGGUGUAUCGCAUAGUGUGAUGGGAAGUGUUGCUGGGACGGGCGAGGAUUCAUGUAAUAAUCCUCCUCAAAAGACUCAUGCGCGGACUGCCCGGAUACGUACCCGGACCAUCCGUGGUUAUAUGUGGACCGUCCGUCGUUGUAUGCGGACCAUCCGAAUGGGUAGUUUGGGUUCUGUGUCGUGUGUGGUGGCUCGGGCGCAUAUCUAGGUAACUCAUUAAAAAUAGGCCCGACUGUUGCUGGCCCGGACGGUCCGCGCUCACGUGCGGACGGUCCGGGCAUGUGCAGAUCGGCUGGUUUGCUGCCGAUUUGCGGUUGCUUAGGGUAUGUGUCCAUCGGCAUCCCAUAAAGGGGUUGUGACUGGUCGUGACAACCUGUAGCCGAUGUGUUACACGCGUUAUCUCCUAACUCAACCUCGUGCGAAGGAAAAUUUGCGGUACUAGAUUUAUCAAAUGCACGUACUAGUCUCUUAAGAUCGCGUUGCAUACCCCCUAUGAUGUUCUGCAUUUGUUCACGCUGAUCUUCUACAUAAUUUCUAAGAGAUUGCAGAUCGUUGGUAUUACUUACAUUGGGGAUAUCUGGCGUGGGUUGGAGCGAAGCCGGAUCCGUCGCCCGAUGUCGGACGACCUUGUUGUUCCUGUCCACUUUGAAGUUGGCCAAGAACUUUGCUUUCGCCUCCUGGAUCAUCCGCUCCUUGUGCUCCUCAAACUGGAGCUACUCGUCAGCCGGCAAGGUUUCCCAAGUCGGCUCUAUGAUGUUGCUUGGAGAAAUAUCAGAGCUAUCCCUUGAACCGGCCAUUGAGGGUCGAUUUGAUAAGCCUAGAUAUGUUUUCCCCAGCGGAGUCGCCAAAAAGUAUGUUGGCGCCUUUUCGGAGCGCCAAAUACUCAAGAAGAACCGGCGGCGGUGCUCUCUGCACAGGGGCGGACGGUCCGCGCGCGGGGCCGGACGGUCCGCGGCCUGGUGCGAGGCGCGGUGGUACUCUCUGCGCAGGGGCGGACUGUCCGCGGCCUGGGGCCGGACGGUCCGCGGCCUGGUGCGCGGCUAGGGCUUCUCUGCCUGACGGUCGGACGGUCCGCGCGUACGCAGAGGCGGCGAAAGUCGCCGGCGGCGCCUGGAUCUCGCUCCCGGGAGGGACCCCGUUGGGGAGGAGAGAUCCUAGGUGGUGUCUAGGCUCGGGCCGGCCGACCUAGACUCCUCUAAUCGACGUAGAGCCGAAGAGAGACGAAGAAUUUGGGGAUUGGGAGGCUAAACCUAAACUAGACUAGAACUACUCCUAGGGUAAAAUGCGAAUAAAAGUUGUAUUGAUUCGAUUGUUGAUGAUUACAAAUCGGCCGUAGACCUCUCUAUUUAUAGAGGAGGGGGGCUGGACCCUUUACACAACUGAUUCCGAGCUAAUCCCGCGAUUUUAGCCAACAACCGUAGCACAAAACUCGGAACCCUAAUCUGCUCUGCGCACGCGCGGACAGUCCGGCCCACAGGCGCGGACCGUCCGGACCGCGGACCGUCCGGCCUCAGGGCCGGACAGUCCGCCGGCUCAUUUCUGGUUCGAACAUACAUAUAUCGAGAUAGAGAAGCAGGACAUGCAAGAAUGUUUCAAGAUUACUUAGCCGACAAUCCCACAUAUGGUCCAUCUUUAUUUCGACGAAGGUUUUGUUUUAUGAAAUAAUAGACUAAUUUGAAUAGCAUGUGCAGUACAUUGUAUAUUGAUAUCUUUUUAUUUUGCCAUUGUAGGUUUAGGAUGAAUCGAUGCCUAUUAUUAAGUAUAAAGAAUGUUGUGGAAGCUCAUGAUGAUUAUUAUAAACUAUUAAGAAAUGCAGCCAAUCAAGUUGGACUAAGUUGCUUUCAAAAGGUUACUGCAGCUUUUCAUAUGCUAACUUAUGGAGUACCAGCAGAUGCUACAGAUGUGUAUGUCCGCAUUGGAGAAAGUAAUGCUAUAGAAAGCCUGAGAAAGUUUAUUGAAGCUAUUACUGAAGUUUUUGGAGAAGAGUACUUGAGGUCACCCACUGAGAGCGAUACAACUCGUUUACUGGCUCUUGGGGAAGAAAGAUGUUUUCUGAGUAUGCUUGGUUCACUAGAUUGUAUGCAUUGGAGGUGGAAGAAUUGUCAUUCGGCGUUGCAAGGUAUGUAUUCAGGCCAUUUUUAUAAACCUACAAUAAUUAUAGAAGUUGUUGCUUCAAACGAUCUAUGGAUUUGGCAUGCAUUUUUUGGUUUACCUAGCUCUUUCAAUGACAUCAACGUUCUUCAUCGAUCGCCACUAUUCUCAAAGCUAGCAAAUGGAGAAGCUCCUAAAGUGAACUACAACAUAAAUGGCCAUGAUUAUACAAUGGGAUACUACCUUGCAGACAUGAUAUAUCCAUCUUGGGCUACAUUGGUAAAAACCAUACCAGAGCCACGAGGAAAUAAUAGAAAAUACUUUGCCAAAGCACAAUAAGCAGUACAGAAGGAUGCGGAACGAGCUUUUGGAGUUCUACGGUCACGUUUUGCCAUUGUGCGUGGCCCAGCUCGUUUUUGGGAUGAUGAGACACUAGCAUACAUUAUGAAAGCAUGUAUUAUCAUGCAUAAUAUGAUUAUUGAAGAUGAGGGAAUAGUGGAUCCCGACGAACGAUUUGACAAUGGUGGAGAUAAUGUGGAGACCUCUCACGAGCAUAUAACAGAUUUUGAUGAAUUUAUUGAGAACCACAUAACUAUUAGGAACAAUGAAACUCACCAUCAACUUCGAGAAGACCUAGUGGAGCACUUGUGGCAACAUCACUCAGAUCAAUAUAAUUAGUGUCAUGUUUGCUCACCAAUUCUUGUCAUUUUACCAUUCAAUUGUUACCGAUUUGUGUAUUCAAUGAGUUCUUAUGUGAAAAUUGAAAAAACAUGCAGCAUUGACAUGUUUCGACGCACGGGAACAAAUAAAUAGUUUCAAGCUAGACAUGUGGUAGCUGGUACCUACGCUCUAUGGCUGCAUGCCAGUUUCACCCAACAACAAAUAUAUAGUUGACACCUCACCAACAAUAAUACCAUCACACAUAAUACUGGUUUUUUAUUCUCAUGGACUAAGUGUAAAAUAUCCAACAAUAAUAGUGUAAUGAGUAGUGCGUUCAUGACAAACACACAUUAGCCAACAAUAUAAUUCAACUAAUGAAAAUACUAAGGAAAUGCAAUAUUUUAAAUUCAACCAGAGUUGCUAAUGCGACGAGCCAUGAUUUCAGCUUGUAGGCUCAUGUAGUAUUGCUUUUGCAUCUCAGCCAUGCAACUAUGCAACUUAUAUCUAUGUUCAUAAUUCUCUCUUCUUCAGCAAUUCUCCGUCUGUGGAGCCUCUCUUGUUCAUUUAUUUCCUUUGUUUCUUCAAUUGCAAGCCUCUUCUGUUCCAACUGAAGCCUCUCUUGAUCUAGAGCAAAUGUCUUGGCAUACCACUCCUCUUUCUUUUGUUGCUUCUCCGCAUCAGCCUCACUCUUCUUUGCCCACAAAAUGUCUAAAGCUUGUAUGCAUGCAUCACUCCCGCCUCGUUGUAUAGCUUCUUUUGUCAUCUUCUUACCCAUUGGUCUUUUUGGUGCAUCUAGAUUUGUAGGAAUGGUAUCUCUAGGGCUAUCACCAACAUUUACAUCCUAAGGGCUACCACCAACAUUUAAAUCUCGAGGGCUACCUAUUGGAAUAGCAAACCCUAACCCUAACAGGGGUUGGGUGGUGUAUUAAUAGACUUGAGUACUGGGCCAGGCCCAUUACAGAGGGGCGAGACAGUAAUUACAUAGGGAACAACCCCAAACCCUAAACGAGUAUUCUAACACCCCCUAGCAGUCACAACUCUAUCAUGUACAGAUGUUGAGACUGGAGCGAAAGUCUAAAAAUACACUCGACGGUAACCCCUUGGUGAAGAUGUCAGCGAAUUGCAGCGUGGUGGGGACGCUGAGAACCCGAACGUCACCGGCAGCGACACGCUCGCGGACGAAGUGCAGGUCAAUCUCCACGUGCUUCGUGCGCUGAUGCUGCACGGGAUUGGUGGAGAGGUAUACCGCGCUGACGUUGUCACAGUAGACGAGGGUGGCGCGCUGAAGGGGAAUGUGGAGCUCGUGGAGGAGUUGUCGUAGCCAGGAGGCCUCUGCCACGCCGUUGGCCACGGCGUGGUACUCGGCCUCAGCGCUGGAGCGAGAGACGACGGGCUGCCGUUUGGCGGCCCAAGAGACGAGGUUGGCACCCAGGAACACGGCGUAACCGGAGGUGGACCGGCGCGUGUCGGGACAGCCAGCCCAGUCAGCAUCGGUGUAGACCACAAGCUCCAACGUCGGGGAUGGUCGGAGUAGGAGGCCGUAAUCGAGGGAGCCGCGGAGGUAGCGCAGAAUCCGCUUGAGCGCGGUGAGAUGGGGCUCCCGCGGAGUGUGCAUAUGCAGGCACACCUGCUGGACGGCGUAAGCGAUGUCGGGCCUGGAGAAGGUGAGGUACUGGAGUGCACCGGUCAGGCUUCGGUAAGACGUCGCGUCGGCGACCGGAGGCCCGUCGUCCUCAGAGAGCUUCGCCUGGGUGUCGACAGGCGUGGAGCAGGACUUGCAGUCAGACAUGCCAGCCCGCUCCAGGAUGUCGAUGGCGUACUGGCGCUGGUGGAGGAAGAGACCCUGAGGCCGGCGCUCGGCGGUGAUGCCGAGCAAGUGGUGAAGGGGCCCCAGGUCCUUCAUGGCGAAUUCCCGCUGAAGGGCGACGAUCGUGCGGUGAAGAAGGUCGGCGGUGGAUGCCGUGAGCACAAUGUCGUCGACGUAGAGCAGGAGGUAGACGGUGUCGUCGCCGCGCCGAUAGAUGAACAGGGACGUGUCCGACUUGGCCUCGACGAAGCCGAUGGAGGCCAGGUAGGAGGCGAAGCGACUGUACCAUGCCCGUGGCGCCUGCUUGAGGCCGUACAGGGACCGGUUCAGCCGGCAGACCAGAUCCGGACGGUCAGCGUCGACAAAGCCGGUGGGCUGGCUGCAGUAGACAGUCUCCGUUAGAGUGCCAUGGAGGAAGGCAUUCUUGACGUCGAGCUGGUGGAUCGCCCAGUCGCGGGAGAGGGCGAGGGAGAGGACGGCGCGAACAGUGGUGAACUUGACGACGGGGCUGAAGGUCUCAUCGUAGUCCACUCCGGGGCGCUGGGUGAAGCCCCGAAGGACCCAACGGGCCUUAUAGCAGUCGAGGGAGCCGUCCGAGGUCAGCUUGUGGCGAAAUAGCCACUUGCCGGUGACCACGUUGGUGCCUGGUGGACGCGGCACCAGGUCCCAGGUGUGGUUGGCCAAGAGGGCCGCGUACUCCUCCUCCAUAGCACGACGCCAAUGUGGGUCGGCGAGGGCAGCGCGAACGGAGGAGGGCACAGGGGAUGCGUCCGGAGGAGUGCAGGUCGUAUCCGCUGCCAGGAUCAGCCGGUCGACGGGGCGAAGAACGCCAGCGGCGCGCCGAGUCACCAUCGGGUGGACGUGCCCAGGGUCGCGGUGGAUGGCGACCGGGUGGUACACUGACAACUCGGAGCGGGCUGCCGGAACGUCGGGAGCGGCGGGUAUGGCCGGCUCGCGGCGGUGAUAGACGACGGCGGGGUCGGCAAAGCGGGCCGUGCUCGUCGACGGGCCCGAGUCGGCAGGCGCCGAGGUGGCGGCGUGGCUGCGACGGUGGUAGACGAGCGCGGGGUCGGCAAAGCGAGUCGGGGUCGACGGGGCUGCGCGUGGCGCAGGCGGGGUCGUCGGGGCCGCGCGUGGCGCAGGCGUGAUCGACGGGGCCGUGUGUGGCGCAGGCGGGGUCGUCGGGGCCGUGCGUGGCGCAGGCGUGGUCGACGGGGCCGCGCGUGGCGUAGGCGUGAUCGACGGGGCCGCGCGUGGCGCGGGAAUGGGCGCGAGGCGGGGCGCCGGGGGUGGGGGGGGGGAACCGGAUCAGACUUGAGGAGUGAGUCUAGAUCGGUGGGUGGGGUGGAGCCUGCAAGGGGAAACACAUCUUCGUCGAAGACGACGUGACGAGAGAUGAUGAUGCGGUGGGAGGUGAGGUCCAGGCACCGAUACCCCUUGUGGUCAGGGGAGUAGCCGAGGAAGAGACAGCGAGUGGAGCGAGGAGAAAGCUUGUUAGGGGCGGUAGCGGAAGUGUUAGGGUAGCAGGCACAGCCGAACACGCGUAGGUGGUCGUAGGAAGGGGUUGUGCCGUACAGGGCGAAGUGAGGUGUAGGGUGGCUCACCGCCUUCGAGGGAAGACGGUUGAGGAGAUGUGUGGCGGUAUGAAGGGCCUCUGCCCAGUAGGUGGCAGGGAGAGACGCCUGAAAGAGAAGGCAGCGGAUCAUGUUGGUGGUGGUGCGAAUCAUGCGCUCGGCCCGGCUGUUCUGAGCAGAGGUGUAGGGACACGAGAGACGCAACUGGACGCCGUGAGUGAGGAAGAAAGAGCGGGAGGCGUUGUUGUCGAACUCGCGGCCAUUGUCGCACUGCAGGGCACGGACCGGGCGCCAGAACUGGGUGGAUACCCAGGCGAAAAAGUGAGUGAGGGUGGUAAACGUGUCGGACUUCAGCCGAAGGGGGAAAGUCCAAAGGAAAUGGGAGUAGUCAUCGAGAAUGACCAGGUAGUAUUUGUAGCCGGAGAGGCUAAGGACAGGAGAUGUCCAGAGAUCACAGUGGACAAGAUCAAAGGCCUGGACAGCCCUGGAUGUGGAAGUAGAAAAAGGAAGACGGGAGUGGCGGCCGAGCUGACAAGCAUGACAGAGGCGCUCAGAAGAGCCCCGAGUAUAUGAUAUGUCGGAGUGGCCGGAAAGCUGGGACAUGACGUCAGGUCCAGGGUGCCCGAGGCGACGGUGCCAAAUGGCGGAGGAGGUGGUGGUAGUAGCAAGAGCAUGUGAAGUGGUGGUAGUAGUAAGUACAGGAGAUGAGGCUACUCUGGUGUGGGGAGUGGAGGGCAAGUGAAGAGAAUAGAGGGGGCCGGAGCUGUCACAGCGAGCGAGCACAGCAUGUGUGGGAAGGUGGCGUAUGGUGAGGCCCCAGGGGUCGAACUCCAUAGAGCACUGGUUGUCACUAGUGAAGCGACGAACCGAGAGGAGGGGAUGAGUUAGUCCGGGAGCAACAAGGACGUCAUUAAGGCAGAAUGGUCCUGGAAGAGCCGAUGUACCUACUGAGGUGACCGGGAGGGUGGAACCGUUGCCGACGACGAUGGAGGUAGGAUGUGAGGGGUGGGGUGGAUGGGAGUGGAGUAACGAAGUAGUGGUGGGGGUAGUGUGGAAGGAGGCCCCAGAGUCAACCACCCAAUCGGUGGUGGUCCGGGGAGGUGGAAGUGGCGAAGGUACGUUGUGAGCGGAGAGGGCCAAAGAAGGUGCCCCGACAGAGGCACUAGGAAGGGAGGGAGAUGACACGGGCUCAACCGCUAGGGAGGCGAUCGCAGCAUGUGGGAAGACAAGCGGUCCAGGCACGUGACGGCCCGCCUGAGGGUGGACCUCGACGCAGUCCCGAAGAAUAGGGUUCCAGACGGGAUCGAAGGACACGAACAUGCCCCGGAUGAGCUGGCCGUCGUGGAGGAGGACACGCACCGUCACGAGAGCGGCGGGCGAGGUAAAGCUCAUGGCGACCGGUGCAGGUCGGCGCAGGGAGGCGCGGACUGGACAGCCGGGCGCGGAACAGCAGAGGCGGCUGAGUGCUCGGCGUCGGGCGUCCACGGCACGGGACAGCAGGGGCGCAGUGGGGAAGAACCGGCGUCCGGAGGUGGCCGGUGGCUGGUAGGGGAAGGGGAGCUCGCGUGGGACGCCACUCCCCUGGCCGGAUCUCGCCCUGCUCGCCCCUGUUCGGACGCCCAGGCCUCUGUGCGGCUGGUGGAGGGAGCCUCGGCCGUCGGCGGGGGUAGGGGCGGCUGCGUCCUGGUCCGGUAAGGCGAGGGGCGGCGUCGGGGCGCCGGAUCGGCAGGCGGUGCGGCGGCCUGGGCCGGUCGCGGACGCCUGGGCAGGAGCGGUGGCGCGCCUGGGUGCGGACCGCUGCUCGAUCGCGGGCCGCUGGGCGUCGGGCCGUAUGAGCAGGGGCGGGUGCACGGGGGCUCUGGCGGUGGCCGGCCUGGUGUAGACGGGCGCGCCGUCGGGGUCGCGGGCUGACGCGACGCGGCGGCUCCUGGGCGCGGAUGCGGCUGCCCUGGCGGCGCUUGGCGGUGGAGAAGGAGAGAGGAGAGGAGGAGCCGGCGACUGGAGAGGUGGAGGCUGGAAAAAAAACCUAGUCUGAUACCAUAUUGGAAUAGCAAACCCUAACCCUAACAGGGGUUGGGUGGUGUAUUAAUAGACUUGAGUACUGGGCCAGGCCCAUUACAGAGGGACGAGACAGUAAUUACAUAGGGAACAACCCCAAACCCUAAACGGGUAUUCUAACACUACCGUCAACUUCUACAUCUCGAGUUGCCUUCUAUUUUUUGUUACUUGUUUUCAGAUAUGCUAAUUGGUUCAACCUCUCAUGCCACUUAGGUUGGUUCCUCAAUUGCAGCCAAUUGUACCUAAAUUGGGAUGACUUCUUAUUGGCAUCUUGACUCUUAAACAACUUCUCAGCUUGCUCCGCCUAUAAAAAGACGGAAUUGGGAUAAAUUUCUAAAGAACGACAACUAAAGGUUUUAUGGGUUCAAAGAGAGAGUAGAUACAUACCCUAUCAUAAGUAGUUGCCCUGCUCUCAUUUUUUGUCUCAAUAUGAUCUAGACACCCACAAAACUUGCUCACAACUUCUUGAAUAGUUCCCCAUCGAUGUACCAAUGAGCUCUGACUGCAUUCUGCUAACGAUUCUAUGUUAUUCUCAUAGAAAGUGUAUACUCUUCUCCAAAAUUCAUCCUUAGUUUGGUUAGUUUCUUGUAUAGCAUCUAUACUAACAUUCAACCAAGCUACAGAUAGAAGUUUGUCUUCGUCUUCAUUAAAGUUUUUCCCUUUAUGCUUCUACUUUGGCUUUGAUGAGGGUGCAUUAUCCAUUAAGGGUGACCGUUGAGAUAUGUCUGGUAUAGUGCCCAGGUUUUCUAAAGCAGCAGGAUAAUCACCAUCAUUCAACAAGGACAUGUAAAAACCAUUAACUUCCAUUCGUACAAAUACCUAGAAAUAGAAAAAAAAUCAGUUGCAUAUGAUGCUCUAUAAUUUGGACAAUAUAGCAGACAACAUUCUAUAAAUUCAUAUAUGGAGGAUGUGAUUAUGUGAACAAUAUUCUCAAUACAGGGGAAAAUAUUAAUUGGCACAUUAUACAAAUGUGUGUUUGUACUUGCAGGUACCAUAAUUCGUAUAGCUGUGUUUGUACUUGCAGGUACCAUCUAGUCAGGGUUCGUUGUGUUCUAAGAAAAAAGGUCGGGCUUGAUUAUUAAUUAAUUGUUUACCAAUGAAAGGAAUCUUUUGGAACAGCAAUGGGUUCAAGGAUUUGAAAAAACUUAGAUACAUUUCGGAUCUGACCAAAGAACAUGGUCUCAAUUUUAUUGCCCUCUCUGAAACAGGCCGCAAAUCCUUCCCAGAUCAUCUACUAAGGAAUUUGUGUGCUGGGAAAAAUUUUAUCUGGCAUUGCAAAGAACCUCAUGGUAGAUCUGGGGGGAUGUUGUUAGGAAUUGACGCUGAUGUCUUUGAUGUUGGUGCCAUCACGGAGGGGGAUUUCUUUAUUAAGUUUAAUUUGCUUGAUAAAGCAGAUGGUUUUAAAUGGGCUCUUGUCUCGGUGUAUGGCCCUGCCCAGGACUGCUUCAAACAAGAAUUCCUUUCUGAGCUAGUCCGUGUGAGCAAUACAGAAACUUUACCUAUUCUCAUUGGGGGAGACUUUAAUAUUUUACGAUCUCCAUCUGAGAAAAAUAAUGAUAGAUUUGAUCAUCGUUGGCCGUUCCUUUUCAAUGCGGUAAUUGAUGGUCUUGAUCUAAGAGAAUUGCAGAUGUCGGGGCGAAGGUACACCUGGGCUAAUACUAGGGAUAUUCCGACUUAUGAGAAGUUGGAUCGGAUUUUGGUAGCUACAGAAUGGGAGGGAAAAUACCCUAGAGCUUCGGUACAUGCCUUGUCGAGAAAUAUAUCCGAUCAUACUCCUCUGCUUCUUAGCACAGGUGUUGUAACCGCCCAUACAAUUCCUCCGUUCAAGUUAGAACUAGGCUGGUUUCUGAGGGAUGGUUUUGUGGAUAUGGUAAAAGAUAUUUGGGUAAAUGAGACAAGUGGUUCUACUCCUUUGGAGAAUUGGCAAGCCAGGAUUAGGAAGGUGCGCCAACACUUAAGGGGUUGGGCAAUGCACACUUCGGGGUUGUUGAAAAAGGAAAAAAAGGAGAUCAUAGCUAAGCUUGAUGAUUUAGAUAAGAGAGCUGAAGUAGUUCUGUUGAGUACUUCGGAGUUGGAUCUGCGCAACUACUUACAGAACAGGCUUGCUCAGCUACUCCGGGAGGAGGAAAUAAAGUGGUAUCAAAGAGCGAAGGUCAAGGAGCUCCUGGAGGGGGAUAGUAAUACUAAAUAUUUUCAGAUGAUAGCCAAUGGAAAAUUCAGGAAGAAUCGCAUCUUCCAGAUGACGGAUGGAGCUCGUAUGUUAUACGACGAGAAAGAAUUAAAGAGUCAUAUAACUGGUUAUUAUAAAAAUCUCUUUGGCCCCCAGAAAACACGUCUUUUAGUCUGGAUGAGGAUCUUAGAGAUGAUAUAAUACAAGUUACUCAAGUUGAGAACGAGAAGCUCACCCAGCCAUUUUCUGAAGAUGAAGUAAAAGCGGUGGUUUUUAGUAUGGAACAUAACAAGGCUCCAGGUCCUGAUGGAUUCCCGGCGGAAUUUUAUCAAAUCUGUUGGGAUGUUAUUAAAGAUGAUCUUAUGGCUUUGUUUCGUGAGUUCCACUCAGGAAAUCUCCCUUUGUAUAGUCUUAACUUUGGGACUAUCAUUUUGCUUCCUAAGACUCGGGAGGCAAUCUCGGUUCAACAAUACCGACCAAUUUGUCUCCUAAAUGUCAGUUUCAAAAUCUUCACAAAGGUGGCGACUAAGAGGAUCACGGAGGUUGCGCAGAAUGUAAUCAGUCCCCUGCAGACUGCGUUCCUGCCAGGAAGAAAUAUCAUGGAGGGGUGGUGGUCUUACAUGAGACUAUUCAUGAGCUACAUACGAAGAAAAGGGAUGGGGUCAUUUUCAAAAUCGACUUCGAGAAAGCUUAUGAUAAGGUGAAGUGGAGCUUUGUUCAACAAUCCCUUCGUAUGAAAGGUUUUUCAAGUACCUGGUGUAGGUGGAUCGAGUCUUUCAUGAAGGGGGGCCAUGUUGCGGUUAGAGUUAAUGAUCACAUGGGUCCUUUUUUCCAGACCCAUAGAGGGGUGAGGCAGGGCGAUCCGCUGUCUCCUAUUCUCUUUAACUUGGUAGUGGACAUGCUUGCUACCCUAAUUAAUAGAGCAAAGGAAAAUGGCCAGAUCAAGGGCUUGGUGCCGCAUUUGGUAGAUGGGGGGCUAUCCAUUCUGCAAUACGCCGAUGAUACAAUUUUGUUUAUGGAUCACGAUCUGGAAAAGGCAACGAAUAUGAAGCUCAUAUUAUGUGCCUUUGAGCAGUUAUCUGGUCUUAAAAUAAACUUUCACAAGAGUGAGAUAUUCUGUUAUGGGAAGGCAAAAGAGGAUGAAGGGAGGUACACACGGCUGUUUGGUUGCAGUUCUGGUGGGCUGCCCUUCAGAUAUCUUGGGAUUCCUAUGCACCACCGUCGAUUGACAAUUGGUGAGUGGAAAACAGUGGAGGCCAAAUUCGAGAAAAAGCUCAGCAGCUGGAAAGGAAAACUUAUGUCAGUAGGAGGGCGGCUCGUAUUAAUUAAUUCUGUGUUGACCAGUCUAGCGAUGUUUAUGAUGUCUUUCUUUGAGGUACCAAAAGGUGUGCUGGAGAAGAUAGAUUAUUUCAGAUCGCGUUUUUUCUGGCAAGGGGAGGGUCAUAAGAAAAAAUAUAGGCUGGCCAAAUGGGAUGUAAUUUGUCAACCUAAGGAGGUUGGCGGGCUAGGCAUUUUGAAUUUAGAGGUUCAAAAUAAAUGCCUCUUAAGCAAAUGGUUGUAUAAACUUCUCAAUGAAGAAGGGAUGUGGCAAUCAUUAUUGAGACGUAAAUAUCUGGCCAAUCGAACCUUAUCCCAGGCGUAGCGUAGGGCCACUGAUUCACACUUCUGGAGUGGUCUUAUGAAAGUUAAGGACACAUUCAUUAGUAAAGGAACCUUUGUGAUUCAUGAUGGGUCCCAGGUGCGUUUCUGGGAGGAUGAUUGGCUCGGGUCGGGAACGUUAAAACUUCGUUUUCCGUCUCUUUAUAACCUAGCGAGGAGGAAGAACUCUACUGUUGCCUGUGUGUUCUCCACGGUGCCCUUAAAUAUAUCCUUUCGGAGGGGUUUGGCUCAACAAUUGAGGGACCAAUGGGUUCAAUUGGUCUCACUUGUUGCGCAUACCGAUUUGAAUUCAAACAGGGACUUGUUCAGAUGGAACUUGACCGCCAACGAGAUGUUUACGGUUAAGUCUCUGUAUCUGGCAUCUCUUAACAAUGGGUUGGGGGUGCAUAAUAAAGACCUUUGGAAACUUAGGCUUCCUCUGAAAAUUAAGAUUUUUAUGUGGUACCUCAAAAGAGGGGUAACAUUAACAAAGGAUAACUUGGCUAGGAGGCAUUGGAAUGGGAAUAAGAUAUGUUGCUUUUGUAGUAGACCGGAGACAAUAAAGCACCUAUUUUUCAGUUGUUUGUAUGCGUCAUUCAUUUGGCGGUUGAUUCAGAUAAGCACGGGGUUGAGACCUCCUCGGGAUGUUAAUGAUUUGUUUGGGGUUUGGGCGAGCGGGAGGCUUCCCAGAGUUCGAAACUUACUAUUAACCGUUGCAUCGGCAAUUUGUUGGGCUAUUUGGUUAAGUAGAAAUGAUGUGGUGUUCAAUAAUUCAUCUCCUAAAUCAUGUGUGCAGGUAACCUUCAGGGCAACAUAUUGGUGCCGCUUCUGGUCUCAGCUUCAGCCUAGAAGGGAGGACCAAGAGUUAAUAAAGUCUUCAUGUCGUAAUGUGGAGAGGGUGCUACUACAGUUCUUUAGCAAUUUUGGAUGGGGGUCUGCGUUGCGUUUAAAUAUGUAGUAGCUGUGGUUCGAUAGCUGAAGUUCUUUAAUUUGGCUAGUUGGGGUUCUCUGAAGUGGUCAUAGGAGGAGUUUUGGCAAUAUGCUUCCGUCCCUUGUAAUAAAUGGCCGUAACCUCAUUUAAGGCCAAGGUCGGAUGAUUUUUCCAUUAUCUAAAAAAAAAUAAACAUAUGCAAAAGUACAAUAUUGGCUCAAUUCAGAGUAUAAAAUCAGGAUACCUAACAACAAAGAAAUCACUUCGAUAGCAUAUACUAGCUGAUAUAGUAGUUAUCUGCAUUCUAUAACCAUAAAAACACUUGUCUCCAUCUAUCUAUCCAUAACGUGACCAAUCAAGUUAAUGGAAAAAAUUCCUAGAAACAUCCAACCACAAAUACGAAUUUCAGAGAAACGUGUAAAGAUUAGUUAAUGGAAAAAUACUACACACAUGCAUCCCCGGAGUAGGGCAUCUACGAAUUUCAGAGAGAGACCGAAGCAACUAGGGAUGGAGAGAGCAGGUGACCUGAUGAUUACCUUGGAGAAGGCACGGAAAAUUCUUUUGGCUGGUACCGCGAGGAGACGAGAUACUCGACCAGAUCUACUUGGGCAGCGAGGAGAUGGGUUCCUCUCCCAAAAUUUUGUUGCCAGAGAGUGCUUGUGGUAGUGACAUGAAGGCACGCGGAUCAGUUGCGGUCUAGUGUGGUGCGCGGAAUGCGGUCGAUUUGGUGGGAAAAACGACGCGAGACAGCAAAAUUUACGCGCCAAUUCUCAGGUUGGGAAUGCGGAAGAGGAGAGCAAGUUUGGGGAGAAGAAACGAUGGUUUUGGAUAUGCGUAAUUAUCAGAAUUAAUUUAGAAAACAGUUGGAUCGUAGUUUUUCUUAAAGAUAUCCUAAAUUAAAGUUUAGGGGAUGCUUUUAGAUAAGUUAGAGAUGCUCUUAUGACAUAACUAUAGAAGUAUAGAGACCAGAAAUAUGUAUGUUGAGAGUUUAAGAACCAAGACAUACAAUUUUACAUAUUUAGGGACUUUGGAGGUAUACUUUGGAAGUUUAGAGACGGGAUAAUAUAACACUAUAAGUUUAGAGACCGCCAGAGUAUUUUACUUUUUUUUAAAUAUCAUAUACUUCAAAGAAAGUGCAAUGUCUCUCUCUGAAAUUUCGACAAACACAGAUAUUAAAGUGAAAAAAUGACCGAAAAUUACAAUCUGCCCCAUCCGGCCGUCCGUCAUCCAACUUCGCCCCACUCUUCUCGGACCUCCACCUGCGGCGGCGGUAGAGGUCACGUAGCCCUCGUCGCUCGUCGGAGCGUCUUGGAUCCUUCCUUGACCCUACUCAUCUCAGGUUCGUCUCUUUCCAAUUCCGGGUUCCUAAUCUACACUGUACAAGCUCUGCAGUAUUUUCCUUUGACGAAUUUGUUGGCCAACGAACUCACGGUCUCUCUCCCCUUUUCCCUGCGUCCAGAUUCCGGCCAGAUGGAAGGCGGCGAGGGAUCCGGAUUCGAUGGGGCACACAUGAAGAAGCGGCGGAGCAGCGCGGUGAGGCGGCCGAGGCCGGAGGGCGGCCCUGCCGCGGUGCAGCGGGACAACGGCUCCCCUCCGCCGCUGUCGGUGACAUCCAGGAGCGCCCCGAGGAGUCUGCUGUUGACUUCGGACGAGAACGCCACCGGCCCCGACGGGGGCAACCGUAGGCGUGAGUUCCUCCUGAACGCUCCGUCGCCGGAGCGCGCGACCAAGGGGAGCAUCCGGCUGCGUUCCGAGGCCGCAGCCGGUGGCUCCAGGAAGAGCGACGGUAGCAGCCAUGCCCCUGAGGGGAACCGUGAGAAGCUGGGGAAGGUGAAGCUCAAGAUUCGUAAUGUGCUACCGAAACCGAACCCUGAUACGUCGCCUGUGAAGCCCCCACGGCCUGUAGAUUCGCGGCACCAGCAAAAGCAUGGCCAUCUGGUGAGUGCUUUGAGCUAUGUUUUCAUCCUGUAUUGUGGUUGGGUUUGCACCAAUUCUGGUUAUGGGAUAAGAUUACCCAACCCACCUUUUGAAAUCAAAUGGAAAACUAGCUGGGUUGCUAACACAGAGACGAACUUGCUGAGAUUUUUCUCAACGUUCUUGAUUUAGCAUGAAUAUGUGUCCUUUGCAAACAUCUUCUUUUGUUUACUUCAUGAUAUGCUAUACACAAUUGACAACUGAUUCGAAAGGAUGAACUGCUUGUAGAAGGAAGGCACAAAAGAUUCUGACAGGCCAACCUCUUCACGAGACAAGAAAGCCAGAAAGGAGAGGUCGAUUCAAGAAACAAUGGCACAUGUGCAAGCAGACAAAUUUCAGAGAGAACCUACUUCAGAUCCUGUACGGAAGAGUAGGAGGCUUGCUAAGAAAUCUGUGGACAAUGAAUUUGACGAGGACUUUGGUACAAGCAAUCUUGGAACUCCUGAAGAUUGGGAUGGUACUCGUGAGUCUAAGAGCAAAGGAAGUGGCUCUAAGAAGAGUGCCUCAAGGAAAGGGAAAAAUAGGAGCAAGGUGUAUGGGGCUGAUAACGAUUUUGUUACUUCCCGAUCUGGCAAGAAAAGAUCUAGAGAAUCAGCUGAUGAUGAUAAUACUGAAGAAGAACCAACCUCAGACAGUGAACCUGACGUUGAAGACACUGAACAGAAAACAACGGCGACUGAAUCACCUGUCAAUAUUAGAAGUGAACCUCUCACGACACGUCGCCGCGCCCUUCAAUCAUGGAUGGAUGGCAGCAGCAUCAGUACUGUCGAGUUCCCUGAUGGGCUACCUCCAGCUCCUUCGAGAAGUCCGCACUAUCUUUGCUCUUCAUUUUGUGCAGUUCAAUUUGAUUAAAACAUCAAACUCUUUGUUCUCCUGCUAAAUGUGUUGAAACAUAUUUCUGUUGGACCAGGCAAGAAGGACAAGCUUUCUGAAGAGGAAAUGCUUGCGAAGAAGGCUGAAGCUGCUCAGAGGCGCAGGAUGCAAGUGGAAAAGGCCACUAAAGAAAGUGAGGUAGGAGAGAAAUCUUUUCUCGCGUUUUCGAUCAGUAUUUGGCAUGUUUCGGUUUCCAGGAGUCAGUUUCAGCUAUGUUUUGAUCUCUGCAGGCGGAAGCUAUAAGGAAAAUAUUGGGCAUUGACUCUGAGAAGAAGAAAGAAGAGAGGAAGCAGAAGGAGCGAGGAGAGAAGGUUCGAUGCAUCAUUUGGUCUUUGCUAUGUGGUGCCCAUUGGUGUUCCAUUAAUACCAGCAGUAUCCCCUUGCUGAACAAAUCAUUUUUCUUGAUACAGGAGCGAGCUAGCAGAGCACAAAACAUGGCGGCAAACUCGAUCCGCUGGGUCAUGGGGCCCACCGGAACAGUUAUUUCGUUUCCACACGCAGUAGGCCUCCCCAGCAUCUUCGACUCCAAGCCACACAGGUGACCCUCACAUCCUUUGCAUGCUUUGCUUGUCCCCCAUAAUCGUGCUGAAGCCAUGACUUCAUCUACCACCUUUUUUUUUGUUCUUUGCGAGCAGCUAUCCUCCUCCACGGGAGAAAUGCGCUGGGCCAUCGUGCACGAACGAUUACAAGUACAGGCACUCCAAGCUGAACCUCCCCCUCUGCAGCCUCAAGUGCUACAAGGCCGUCCAAGGAAAUGCUUGAUAGGGCUCAGGGAACAUAAUGGUGGGGACUGGGGAGUUUGUGCUGUCUCCAUUGGCAUGCCAUCUAUGGCUGGAAAUAAGGCAUGAAGAUGAUGUGCAUCUAUGGUGGGAGUUCUAAAGGAUGCAAUGCAAUAAGGGUCUGCCUGCAAAUGUAUAGAAAUGGAUAUCUAUCUACAUGUAGAUUUGUGGGGUAGAGAUGUAGAAGAUCUUUUUGCUGAACCUGUGAUUAAAGAUGCCGGAUGUUAUUGCUAUCCCACAAUACGCAUCCUGUUUUUAGUUCUUUUGAGAGAAAAAGGUGUUUUUGUUGUAGAUACUGCACGUACGUUUCAUAUGUAUAAUAAAGAGCAGAAUAAGUUUUUGUAACCUGUUUGUUCAUCCGUUCAUAGAGCUCAAGGUUGGAAAGGGAAGCCAAACCAGAAGUGAAGUGCAUGUUCAAACGUAAAACAAAAAAAAAA